rnacentral:lncRNA from 1 species
CGCCUCGUCCUCCCCGGCGAGCUCGCCAAGCACGCCGUCUCUGAGGGUACAAAGGCCGUCACCAAGUUCACAUCCGCUUAGAUACCCUGCUCUUGUGUUUUCUCUGAAUGUGUUGAUUUCUCCUGGCUGUUGAUGAAUCCAUUGUUCGUUGUAGUUAGAUGUUCAGAGUGCAUCAUCUUGUAAUUUGUGACGACACAAAUGUUUCAGGAUCCGGAGGAAAUAGUAAUGGUGUUGCUUUGAUCUGUUUCAUGCCUGCCUAUCAUGCUGAAUCCAUGCCAUGUCUCCUAUUCUACUGAUUUGUCAGUCCAUGGUCGUUUCUAAAUGCCCGCAGACCUGAACAUUGCAAAUGUCUGCAGACUGAUGGCGUGGGGGUUGAAACGGCUGGUGCUCGACGAAAGAGCACCACGUCGAUGACGGCUGUGUGCCUGUGUCCAGCUUGUGAUUAUAUCUGCUGAGAACAAAGUGAUUCUACCCGAAAAUAUAAUAUAACAAAGUGAUUCCUUAGUAAAAAUGCCAUGCUACCGUGGUGACAUAACUGUGCCAUAGUUCAUCUUCGGGAAAUCCACAAUGAAGAGCUCAAUUGUCCACACGAAUUAGGAUACAAUCGAGCACAAGUGUCUCAUUUUACUGUUGUUGCAGCACAAGUGUCUGUCCAUCUGCUCUUUAGUCUACAGGCCAGCAAAUUUUGCACUGCAAAAUAGCUCAAGACACAGGCCGUUUUCAGCACCUCUCUAGUUCGAUAUUGCUGCUCAGGACUCGAGACGUUCUUUUGCUGAACAAUUCUUGCCAUCUGACCAAGGUACAGCUCACUUCCAAGCUGCAGCAACCAUCUCUGCAUACACGAUGGCGGCUAAGCAACUACGCUGCUUCAGACAGCAAUGCAUUUUUCCACGAUCCCGAAAGAUUGCUUGCAUUUUACAGUCAGAAUGGACGAGCACUGUCGCGCUGUUAGAUUUCUCUUUGUUCCAUUGCAAUUCUAUUUGCAGUCAGGGAUUUUUUGUAAGGGAACCUCGUCAGAGGGCAAGGUACUAAAGAUAGAAAUGAACCGAUUUAUAAGGAACUAGGAAAAACUACAUCAUAAACAAGAAGAGAAAAACAGCUCAAAAAGGAAAACAAGAAGAAAAAAAGGGAACGCGCAAUAGCUACGACGACCCAAACCGACCACCACCACCUAACACGAUCCUGCCUGACCCAAACCGGCCACGACCACUACCUGGAGUGACCGAGAGCAAGAUCUUUGGAGACGGCUUCAAGAAGUAAGACUCAUGGGGGUCACCUGGUUUUGAAAUUGAUGUGAAUUUUUUAACUGAAAUUGACAUGUGUUAUUGGAAUGGAUAUGUUUUUGUCUACUGACAUAAAAUCAUUCUUUCCGAAAUAUAUGGUAUCGAUAUUAUUUUUUGGAACUGAAAUUGUCAUUUGUGGUACCGAAAUCGUGUUUUGUCAUACUGAAAUAUAUAAUUUCAUUUUUCUAAACAGAGCCAAAAUUAUUUGCUGAAAUUGAUAUUACUUAUCAAAAAUGAAUUUUGUUAACGAAUAUUUAUAUUGUGAUGGAUUGGACACUAAAAUUUGGUAAUGAUAUGAAUCUGUUACUCACACCAAUCCAAAAAAAGUGUCGGGUUUAGUAUAAAGUUGUACUAAACCCGUGACACUUAUUUUGGAUCAAAGGGAGUAUUUGUUACUGAAAUACCUGUCACUUUAUUAGGAAACAUGUGAUUUUUUUAUUGAAAUUGGCAUGUGUUACCGAAAUGGAUAUAAUUUUGUCUACUGAAAUGAAAUAAUUCCUUUUUAGAGUAUUCUGAUUUGUUGUAUUGAAAUCGCCGAAUUUGUGUUGCGUGGUACUGAAAUANNNNNNNNNNNNNNNNNNNNNNNNNNNNNNNNNNNNNNNNNNNNNNNNNNNNNNNNNNNNNNNNNNNNNNNNNNNNNNNNNNNNNNNNNNNNNNNNNNNNNNNNNNNNNNNNNNNNNNNNNNNNNNNNNNNNNNNNNNNNNNNNNNNNNNNNNNNNNNNNNNNNNNNNNNNNNNNNNNNNNNNNNNNNNNNNNNNNNNNNNNNNNNNNNNNNNNNNNNNNNNNNNNNNNNNNNNNNNNNNNNNNNNNNNNNNNNNNNNNNNNNNNNNNNNNNNNNNNNNNNNNNNNNNNNNNNNNNNNNNNNNNNNNNNNNNNNNNNNNNNNNNNNNNNNNNNNNNNNNNNNNNNNNNNNNNNNNNNNNNNNNNNNNNNNNNNNNNNNAAAUUUGGGGGCCCUUGAUAUAAACAUCAUAUGCAUAUUAUCUUCAAAUUUACUUGUAACAUUCUUCGAUGCAAAGUCACUUAUGAUUGUGUCGAUUUCAAUGUCAUCCACUUCUCGAUGCAUAAUGUUGCCUAUCCAUUUAAGAUGUUUCAGGUAAUUGUAUAUCCCAAAUGGUUGUACAAUAAUUUCUAAUUUGAAAAGCCUUUUUAUCUGAGAUGCAACAAUCACAUACACAGUAAAUAUGAAUAAAUCUUUAAACACUAUGACUUUCUUAAAUCCUUUACUUGAGUGAAGUGAUUCAUAUCAACCAAAGCAAACAAAUAUUUAACAUGAAAAUCCUUCUCAGCUUCUAGAAUUUCAUUUUGGCAACUACUUUUAUCAAAUUGUUUCUUCCUCAAAGCACGAAGCUGUACUUGAAACUAUAGGGAAUAGUAAUAUGAUACGUAGUACCUCAGAUUGAUUAGAUCAGCAUCAAUCAUUGGACGCUGGGCGAUGAUGUGAUGUGGAUUUCUGGUGGCGAGCACUCGGCGAUGUACGCGUGCGCCCCACUCCGGCAGUGUCAAAUUUCAGGGGCUAGGCGAUGUUCGUGUUGCGUCGUCACCGCGACCAUGAACACGAACUGGAGUUUGGAGCAGAACAAAUAAUAUAGGAAAUUACAGAUGAAAUCACGUUACAUGAUCAUUUUUCUUUUGGAGGGAGAUUGUCUCAGGAUAGUAAUAAGGAAUAAAGCAAACGGGCGACGUGAUUUACGUGCGUUACGCUGAUUUGUUUCCUUACGAUGGUACACUGAUUUACAUGCAUACGCUGCCUGCUGUCCCUUCCUUUCUGGACCUGGGCUACUUCCAUGUUUUCUAUGUGAAGCUACGGCCUAUGGGUUAGUUUACCCAACGUACAUCACAUCUGGGAGGCCCCCCCUAGAUCUUGGGGGCCCGGGGCGGCCGCCCCCCUGCCCCCCAUCAGGGCCGGCCUUGAGAGAGAGAGAGAGAGGGUGGAUACACCAUGGGCAUGGGUGUACAAUUUUUUCUGCAAAAAAAUCUUAUAUAUAGGCAUAUAUAAGAUUAUAAGAUAUCUGAAAAAAACUUAUAUAUAGGCAAAUAUAUGGCACAUGCAAAAAAAUCAAUAUAUGUCAGCAACCACGGGAGUAGCCGGCCACUUCUGUCCAUUGUCUGUGCAGCCCAUUUCAGAUGUACCCGUGAUCGGCCGAGUUUAGCAGCAGCUAGAAGCCUGUUAGGUCGGCAGCAGCCAGCAAUUUCUAUCUAGUGUCCAUUGUCCGCUAGUUCAUUUCGUACAUGAUGAAUGCUUACAAAUCAUGACCAUUUCGGAGUUGUUCUUGUUGGACAUGAUCAAUGACAACCAUGGUCUGGCCCCCAAUGGAGUAUGAAUUGGGGACACCGCAUUUGAAGUUGGGACAACAUCCGAUUCCAAUCCGAGCAAGAAAAAGAAGAUGGGAAAGACGGCGAAGGCAAGAGGUCAGGUAUUCUCAACUUUUGAGGAUAUCUUUGUUGGUCAAAGCUUGGUUGGCCACAACAAUGGAUCCAAUAUGCGGCACCGAGCAAAAGGGGACAAGUAUUAGGAGAAGAUUUGAAGGAGUAUCACGAACAAAAGGAAUAUCUGGAGCCGCAUCCUAUCAUGACCAACCGCAAUGUGGCAUCUCUCCAACAUCGAUGGGGGGUCAUUCAAGGGAAGUGAACAAGUAUGUUGGCUACUACUCACAAGUGACCAAACGCCCUUAAAGUGGGAUGAGAGUGACAACUCACGUAAGCUCAGUUGCUUGAUCUUGUCAUCAUUUGCAUGUGCUUCGUGUGUUCGCAUUCUCGUGCUCAUACAUAUGUUGUUUCCUAGCGGCGGUGGUGGCCACUUUGUAUCACGAAACGAAGAAGCAGUUGUUUUCUUUUAGCCAUUGUUGGAUCAUAUUGAAUGGAGUGCUAAAAUGGACAAAACUUGUGGCUGAUCUCAAGGACGGCAACAAGAGGAAUGAUGGCUCAAGCUCCCACCAAUCAAUUGGGUUGGACGAUGAAGAGGACGAUAUUUUCGUCGAGAAUGGAAGAGCCGCGUGACAAAGGAUAACCAGCAAGUCAUGGGAAACAAGUGGGAGAAGACAAGGGCCUCCUGUGACGCCGCGGCUACAAAAAUGUCCUCUACAUUGACGGGCAUUUUUUCGACGAGGGAGAACAAGAAAGAGGAGAGAUACAAGCCCAUGUUGGAUGUGCAAAAGGAGAUGAUGGAUUGGGAUCGGAGAGGGCGUAGAAGAAGCUGGAAAUUGAGAGGGAGAAGAUCGAGUUCGAGAAGUAAGAGGCGGCGAUCAAAUGGGAGCUCGAGAAGGCCAAGACAUUUUGAGAGAUUGAGCUUGAGAAAGAGAGGUUAGAACUCGCACGGGAAGCGGAGGAUGCGAAGAUCAUGUUGGCGGAUGAAACCCUCUUGGAUGAGCAUGCAAAGAAGUGGCUUGCGGAGAAGAAGAAGUAGAUCAACGAGCAUAGGGAGUACGAGGCGGCGAGGGCAGCAAUGGCAACAAUGGAGCAUGCGACAAGGAUGCACGCGGAGCAGGAGGCAAGGAUGGCCUCAGAGCAGACGACAUGGACAACAUCCGACCAGUGAUCCGGCCAACAAGCGAGGCAUCUAUCACGCUCGGACAUUUAUUUCACUUUGGCAUAUCUGGAUUUAUUGAACUAUGAUUUGUAUCGUAUGGUCGAUGUGCAUGGAUUUGAGGCCCCGCAUUUGAGGUAUGUGGAUGUGCGUAAAAUCAUAUGAGGGGCCAGUAGGCUGUCCGCGGACACGCCCGCGGGCGUAUAGGGGUCAGGAUUUGCCAAAUUUGGCUCUAGAUGGUCCCAGUCUGUCACCCAGCAGCCAACCGGUUCCUUCUUCAGCUCUUACCUUCGAUGAGGCAGCGACGCGAUUAUGUGCCAGACUACCGAUGGCGAGCCACAACCAGCCAAGGGAGCCACCGACACUGGAGCUCCCCAUGGUUUCCGCGGGGGACACGGACAAGUCGUGCUCGCCCAAUGCCAUGCUACCACCGCUGGCGGGGAGGAGCAUAUCAAUGCGGAAUGGACCAACAACCUCAAUCUCUAGGCCUAAGGUUAUGUCCAACGGCAACCCACAAAUUUCCUCCCGCAUCCGUCCGCGGACAGGGGGGAUCAGUCCAUGAACACGGAUGCGGGAAGACGCCAUCAACAGUUGCCGCAUUGCUAUCACUUUUUCAACAGACCAGAUGCAAUUCAUGCAAACACAGCGGAUUUCAUGUAAAUCGGACAAAAUUCAUUACAUUGUGGACAUAUUUUAACUAAAAUAGGUAAAACUAUGUGCACAUCCAGCUGCGUGGAGCUCCAUUCCCACGACACGAGUACACUACACUAGUCUACGACCAGCCGUGACAGAUCCCUUUGUCUUUCCCAUGUCCGGCAGCCCGCUCAUCGGAGUGGAAAAAGGGGUGCUUCAGUGGGAGAGGGUUGCGGGCUUCGCAUCCGUGAAGCCCAGGCGGGGGUCGAUGAUGGCAGAGCCGCUCAUCGGAGUGGAACCCCUAUGAUGUGCUUCAGCCGAAGGGGAAGGGGAAGACAAUGGUAUGCGACCGGGCAAGACAAUGGAUGUGUAUGCCGGUGUCACCUCCGCGGUGGCCUUCAUGGGACCCAAGCGACGGCGGCCUCCCGUGUUCUACUUCUCCUCGAUGACCUCGGCGGGCGUGGACAUGCUGGACGCUGCGUCGUUGCCGACCUCCACUGGCAGGGCGUGUUCAUGGACACAUUUAUGGCGGAUGGUGCGAGCAGCAGAAGCACGUUGCUGAAGGAUGUGCCUGUUGGGGAUCGUAGCAGAAAUUAAAAUUUUCUACGCAUCACCAAGAUCAAUCUAUGGAGUUUACUAGCAACGAGAGGGGAGGAGUGCAUCUACAUACCCUUGUAGAUCGCGAGCGGAAGUGUUCAAGAGAACGGGGUUGAUGGAGUCGUACUCGUCGUGAUCCAAAUCACCGAUGAUCCAAGCGCCGAACGGACGGCACCUCCGCGUUCAACACACGUACGGAGCCGUGACGUCUCCCACGCCUUGAUCCAGCAAGGAGGAGGGAGAGGUUGAGGAAGAAGGCUCCAACAGCAGCACGACAGCGUGGUGGUGGUGGAGUGACAGCUCUCCGGCAGGGCUUCGCCAAGCACACGCGGAGGAGGAGAGGUGUUGGGGAGGGGAGGGGCUGCGCCUUGGAUGUGGUGCUGCAGCCCUCCCCUCAUCCCUCUAUUUAUAGGGAGAAGGGGGAAGGGGGCCAGCCCCUCUAGAUGGGAUCUAGAGGGGGGGGCGGCGGCCAAGGGGAAGGUGGCUUGCCCCCCAAGCAAGGGGGGGGGGGGCGCCCCCUUUAGGGUUUCCCCCAAACCCUAGGCGCAUGGGCCCUAGGGGGGUUGGAGCCCAGCCCACUAAGGGCUAGUUCCCUUCCACCUACAGCCCAUAAGGCCCUCCGGGGCAGGUGGACCCUCCCGGUGGACCCCCGGAACCCCUCCGGUGGUCCCGGUACAAUACCGGUAUACCCCCGAAUAUUUUCGGUGACCGUAUGGUGACUUCCCAUAUAUAAAUCUUUACCUCCGGACCAUUCCGGAACUCCUUGUGACGUCCGGGAUCUCAUAUGGGACUCCGAACAACAUUUGGUAAUCACAUACAAACCUUCCUUAUAACCCUAGCGUCAUCGAACCUUAAGUGUGUAGACCCUACGGGUUCGGGAAUCAUGCAGACAUGACCGAGACACCUCUCUAGCCAAUAACCAACAUCAGGAUCUGGAUACCCAUGUUGGCUCCCACAUGUUCCACGAUGAUCUCAUCGGAUGAACCACGAUGUCGAGGAUUCAAGCAAUCCCGUAUACAAUUCCCUUUGUCAAUCGGUACGUUACUUGCCCGAGAUUCGAUCGUCGGUAUCCCAAUACAUCGUUCAAUCUCGUUACCAGCAAGUCACUUUACUCGUUCCGUAAUGCAUGAUCCCGUGACUAACUACUUAGUCACAUUGAGCUCAUUAUGAUGAUGAAAUACCGAGUGGGCCCAGAGAUACCUCUCCGUCAUACGGAGUGACAAAUCCCAGUCUCGAUCCGAGCCAACACAACAGACACUUUCAGAGAUACCUGUAGUGCACCUUUAUAGCCACCCAGUUACGUUGUGACGUUUGGUACACCCAAAGCAUUCCUACAGUAUCCGGGAGUUGCACGAUCUCAUGGUCUAAGGAAAUGAUACUAGACAUUAGAAAAGCUUUAGCAAACGAACUACACAAUCUAGUGCUAUGCUUAGGAUUGGGUCUUGUCCAUCACAUCAUUCUCCUAAUGAUGUGAUCCCGUUAUCAAUGACAUCCAAUGUCCAUGGUCAGGAAACCAUAACCAUCUAUUGAUCAACGAGCUAGUCAACUAGAGGCUCACUAGGGACAUGUUAUGGUCUAUGUAUUCACAUAUGUAUUACGAUUUCCGGAUAACACAAUUAAAGCAUGAACAAUAGACAAUUAUCAUGAACAAGGAAAUAUAAUAAUAACCAUUUUAUUAUUGCCUCUAGGGCAUAUUUCCAACAGUCUCCCACUUGCACUAGAGUCAAUAAUCUAGUUACAUUGUGAUGAAUCGUACACCCAUAGAGUUCUGGUGUUGAUCAUGUUUUGCCCGUGGAAGAGGUUUAGUCAACGGAUCUGCGACAUUCAAAUCCGUAUGUACUUUACAAAUAUCUAUGUCUCCAUUUUGAACAUUUUCACGAAUGGAGUUGAAGCGACGCUUGAUGUGCCUGGUCUUCUUGUGAAACCUGGGCUCCUUGGCAAGGGCAAUAGCUCCAGUGUUGUCACAGAAGAGAGUCAUCGGCCCCGAUGCAUUGGGAAUAACUCCUAGGUCGGCAAUGAACUCCUUCAUCCAGAUUGCUUCAUGUGCCGCCUCCGAGGCUGCCAUGUACUCCGCUUCACAUGUAGAUCCCGCCACGACGCUUUGAUUGCAACUGCACCAGCUGACUGCCCCACCAUUCAAAAUAUACACGUAUCCGGUUUGUGACUUAGAGUCAUCCAGAUCUGUGUCGAAGCUAGCAUCGACGUAACCCUUUACGACGAGCUCUUCGUCACCUCCAUAAACGAGAAACAUAUCCUUAGUCCUUUUCAGGUACUUCAGGAUGUUCUUGACCGCUGUCCAGUGUUCCAUGCCGGGAUUACUUUGGUACCUUCCUACCAAACUUACGGCAAGGUUUACAUCAGGUCUGGUACACAGCAUGGCAUACAUAAUAGACCCUAUGGCCGAGGCAUAGGGGACGACACUCAUCUUUUCUCUAUCUUCUGCCGUGGUCGGGCAUUGAGCCGUGCUCAAUCUCACACCUUGCAAUACAGGCAAGAACCCCUUCUUGGACUGAUCCAUAUUGAACUUCUUCAAUAUCUUCUCAAGGUAUGUGCUUUGUGAAAGACCUAUGAUGCGUCUCGAUCUAUCUCUAUAGAUCUUGAUGCCUAAUAUGUAAGCAGCUUCUCCAAGGUCCUUCAUUGAAAAACACUUAUUCAAGUAGGCCUUUAUACUUUCCAAGAAUUCUAUAUCAUUUCCCAUCAAUAGUAUGUCAUCCACAUAUAAUAAGAAAAAUGCUACAGAGCUCCCACUCACUUUCUUGUAAACACAGGCUUCUCCAUAAGUCUGCGUAAACCCAAACGCUUUGAUUCAUCUCAUCAAAGCGAAUGUUCCAACUCCGAGAUGCCUGCACCAGCCCAUAGAUUGAGCGCUGGAGCUUGCAUACUUUGUCAGUAUUCUUAGGAUCGACAAAACCUUCCGGCUGCAUCAUAUACAAUUCUUCCUUAAGGAAGCCGUUAAGGAAUGCCGUUUUGACGUCCAUUUGCCAUAUUUCAUAAUCGUAGAAUGCGGCAAUUGCUAACAUGAUUCGGACGGACUUCAGCUUCGCUACGGGUGAGAAGGUCUCAUCGUAGUCAACUCCUUGAACUUGACGAUAACCCUUAGCGACAAGUCGAGCUUUAUAGAUGGUAACAUUUCCAUCCGCGUCCGUCUUCUUCUUAAAGAUCCAUUUAUUUUCUAUCGCUCGCCGAUCAUUGGGCAAGUCUGUCAAAGUCCAUACUUUGUUUUCAUACAUGGAUCCUAUCUCGGAUUGCAUGGCUUCAAGCCAUUUGUUGGAAUCUGGACCCGCCAUUGCUUCUUCAUAGUUCGAAGGUUCGCCGUUGUCCAACAACAUGAUUUCCAGGAGAGGGUUGCCGUACCACUCUGGUGUGGAACGUGUCCUUGUGGACCUACGAAGUUCAGUGGUAACUUGAUCAUGAUCGUCAUCAUUAACUUCCUCUCUAGUCGGUGCAGGCACCACAGAAACAUUUUCUUGUGCUGCGCUACUUUCUGGUUCGAGAGGGGUCAUCUCAUCAAGUUCCACUUUCCUCCCACUUACUUCUUUCGAGAGAAACUCUUUCUCCAGAAAGGACCCGUUCUUAGCAACGAAGAUCUUGCCUUCGGAUCUGAGGUAGAAGGUAUACCCAAUGGUUUCCUUAGGGUAUCCUAUGAAGACGCAUUUUUCCGACUUGGGUUCGAGCUUUUCAGGUUGAAGUUUCUUGACAUAAGCAUCGCAUCCCCAAACUUUAAGAAACGACAUCUUAGGUUUCUUUCCAAACCAUAAUUCAUACGGUGUCGUCUCAACAGAUUUCGACGGAGCCCUAUUUAAAGUGAAUGCGGCAGUCUCUAAAGCCUAACCCCAGAAUGAUAGCGGUAGAUCGGUAAGAGACAUCAUAGAUCGCACCAUAUCCAAUAGAGUGCGAUUACGACGUUCAGAUACACCAUUACGCUGAGGUGUUCCAGGCGGCGUGAGUUGUGAAACAAUUCCACAUUUCCUUAAGUGUGUGCCAAAUUCGUGACUCAAAUAUUCCCCUCCACGAUCUGAUCGUAAGAACUUUAUUUUCCUGUCACGUUGAUUCUCAACCUCACUCUGAAAUUCCUUGAACUUUUCAAAGGUCUCAGACUUGUGUUUCAUUAAGUAGACAUACCCAUAUCUACUCAAGUCAUCAGUGAGGGUGAGAACAUAACGAUAGCCACCACGAGCCUCAACGCUCAUUGGACCGCACGCAUCAGUAUGUAUGAUUUCCAAUAAGUUGGUUGCUCGCUCCACUGUUCCGGAGAACGGAGUCUUGGUCAUUUUGCCCAUGAGGCAUGGUUCGCACGUGUCAAAUGAUUCAUAAUCAAGAGACUCCAAAAGUCCAUCUGCAUGGAGUUUCUUCAUGCGUUUGACACCAAUGUGACCAAGGCGGCAGUGCCACAAGUAUGUGGGACUAUCAUUAUCAACCUUACAUUUCUUGGCAUUCACACUAUGAAUAUGUGUAACAUCACGUUCGAGAUUCAUUAAGAAUAAACCAUUGACCAGCGGGGCAUGACCAUAAAACAUAUCUCUCAUAUAAAUAGAACAACCAUUAUUCUCGGAUUUAAAUGAGUAGCCAUCUCGCAUUAAACGAGAUCCAGAUACAAUGUUCAUGCUCAAAGCUGGCACUAAAUAACAAUUAUUGAGGUUUAAAACUAGUCCCGUAGGUAAAUGUAGAGGUAGCGUGCCGACGGCGAUCACAUCGACCUUGGAACCAUUCCCGACGCGCAUCGUCACCUCGUCCUUCGCCAGUCUCCGCUUAUUCCGCAGCUCCUGCUUUGAGUUACAAAUAUGAGCAACCGCACCGGUAUCAAAUACCCAGGAGCUACUACGAGCGCUGGUUAGGUACACAUCUAUAACAUGUAUAUCACAUAUACCUUUGGUAUUGCCGGCCUUCUUAUCCGCUAAGUACUUGGGGCAGUUCCGCUUCCAGUGACCGUUUCCCUUGCAAUAAAAGCACUCAGUCUCAGGCUUGGGUCCAUUCUUUGUCUUCUUCCCGGCAGCUUGCUUACCGGGCGCGGCAACUCCCUUGCCGUCUUUCUUGAAGUUCUUCUUACCCUUGCCUUUCUUGAACUUAGUGGUUUUAUUCACCAUCAACACUUGAUGUUCCUUUUUGAUCUCCCCCUCCGCUGAUUUCAGCAUUGAAUAUACCUCAGGAAUGGUCUUUUCCAUCCCCUGCAUAUUGAAGUUCAUCACAAAGCUCUUGUAGCUAGGUGGGAGCGACUGAAGGAUUCUGUCAACGACCGCGUCAUCCGGGAGAUUAACUCCCAGCUGAGACAAGCGGUUGUGCAACCCAGACAUUUUGAGUAUGUGUUCGCUGACGGAACUAUUCUCCUCCAUCUUACAACUGUAGAACUUGUCGGAGACUUCAUAUCUCUCGACCCGGGCAUGAGCUUGGAAAACCAUUUUCAGCUCUUGGAACAUCUCAUAUGCUCCGUGCUGCUCAAAACGCUUUUGGAGCCCCGGUUCUAAGCUGUAAAGCAUGCCGCACUGAACCAGGGAGUAAUCAUCACUACGUGACUGCCAGGCAUUCAGAACGUCUUGAGUUGCUGGGAAAACAGGUGCAUCACCUAGCGGUGCUUCAAGGACAUAUGCUUUCUUGGCAGCUAUGAGGAUAAUCCUCAGGUUACGGACCCAGUCCGUGUAGUUGCUACCAUCGUCUUUCAGCUUGGUUUUCUCUAGGAAUGCGUUGAAGUUGAGGGCAACAUUAGCGUGGGCCAUUUGAUCUACAAGACAUAUUGUAAAGGUUUUUAGACUAAGUUCAUGAUAAUGAAGUUCAUCUAAUCAAAUUAUUAACGAACUCCCACUCAGACAGACAUCCCUCUAGUCAUCUAAGUGAUACAUGAUCCGAGUCAACUAGGCCGUGUCCGAUCAUCACGAGAGACGGACUAGUCAUCAUCGGUGAACAUCUUCAUGUUGAUCGUAUCUGCUAUACGACUCAUGUUCGACCUUUCGGUCUCUUGUGUUCCGAGGCCAUGUCUGUACAUGCUAGGCUCAUCAAGUCAACCUAAGUGUAUUGCGUGUGUAAAUCUGGCUUACACCCGUUGUAUGCGAACGUUAGAACCUAUCACACCCGAUCAUCACGUGGUGCUUCGGAACAACGAACCUUCGCAACGGUGCACAGUUAGGGGGAACACUUUCUUGAAAUUUUAGCGAGGGAUCAUCUUAUUUAUGCUACCGUCGUUCUAAGCAAAUAAGAUGUAAAACAUGAUAAACAUCACAUGCAAUCAAAUAGUGACAUGAUAUGGCCAAUAUCAUUUUGCUCCUUUUGAUCUCCAUCUUCGGGGCGCCAUGUUCAUCAUCGUCACCGGCAUGACACCAUGAUCUCCAUCAUCGUGUCUUCAUGAAGUUGUCUCGCCAACUAUUACUUCUACUACUAUGGCUAAUGGUUAGCAAUAAAGUAAAGUAAUUACAUGACGUUCCAGUUAACACGCAGGUCAUAAAUAAAUUAAGACAACUCCUAUGGCUCCUGCCGGUUGUCAUACUCAUCGACAUGCAAGCCGUGAUUCCUAUUACAAGAACAUGAUCAAUCUCAUACAUCACAUAUAUCAUUCAUCACAUCCUUCUGGCCAUAUCACAUCACAUGACACUUGCUGCAAAAACAAGUUAGACGUCCUCUAAUUGUUGUUGCAAACUUUUAUGUGGCUGCUAUAGGUUUCUAGCAAGAACGAUUCUUACCUACGCCAAAACCACAACGUGAUAUGCCAAUUUCUAUUUACCCUUCAUAAGGACCCUUUUCAUCGAAUCCGAUCCGACUAGUGGGAGAGACAGACACCCGCUAGCCACCUUAUGCAACUAGUGCAUGUCAGUUGGUGGAACCUGUCUCACGUAAGCGUACGUGUAAGGUCGGUCCGGGCCGCUUCAUCCCACAAUGCCGGCGAAUCAAGAUAAAACUAGUAACGACAAGUAAAUUGACAAAAUCAACACCCACAACAACUUGUGUUCUACUCGUGCAUAGAAACUACGCAUAGACCUAGCUCAUGAUGCCACUGUUGGGGAUCGUAGCAGAAAUUAAAAUUUUCUACGCAUCACCAAGAUCAAUCUAUGGAGUUUACUAGCAACGAGAGGGGAGGAGUGCAUCUACAUACCCUUGUAGAUCGCGAGCGGAAGCGUUCAAGAGAACGGGGUUGAUGGAGUCGUACUCGUCGUGAUUCAAAUCACCGAUGAUCCAAGCGCCGAACGGACGGCACCUCCGCGUUCAACACACGUACGGAGCGGUGACGUCUCCCACGCCUUGAUCCAGCAAGGAGGAGGGAGAGGUUGAGGAAGAAGGCUCCAACAGAAGCACGACGGCGUGGUGGUGGUGGAGUGACAGUUCUCCGGCAGGGCUUCGCCAAGCACACGCGGAGGAGGAGAGGUGUUGGGGAGGGGAGGGGCUGCGCCUUGGAUGUGGUGCUGCAGCCCUCCCCUCAUCCCUCUAUUUAUAGGGAGAAGGGGGAAGGGGGCCGGCCCCUCUAGAUGGGAUCUAGAGGGGGGGGCGGCGGCCAAGGGGAAGGUGGCUUGCCCCCAAGCAAGGGGGGGGGGGGGGCGCCCCCUUUAGGGUUUCCCCCAAACCCUAGGCGCAUGGGCCCUAGGGGGGUUGGCGCCCAGCCCACUAAGGGCUGGUUCCUUUCCACCUACAGCCCAUAAGGCCCUCCGGAGCAGGUGGACCCUCCCGGUGGACCCCCGGAACCCCUCCGGUGGUCCCGGUACAAUACCGGUAUACCCCCGAAUAUUUCCGGUGACCGUAUGGUGACUUCCCAUAUAUAAAUCUUUACCUCCGGACCAUUCCGGAACUCCUCGUGACAUCCGGGAUCUCAUCCGGGACUCCGAACAACAUUCGUUAAUCACAUACAAACCUUCCUUAUAACCCUAGCGUCAUCGAACCUUAAGUGUGUAGACCCUACGGGCUCGGGAAUCAUGUAGACAUGACCGAGACACCUCUCUAGCCAAUAACCAACAGCGGGAUCUGGAUACCCAUGUUGGCUCCCACAUGUUCCACGAUGAUCUCAUGGGAUGAACCAUGAUGUCGAGGAUUCAAGUAAUCCCGUAUACAAUUCCCUUUGUCAAUCGGUACGUUACUUGCCCGAGAUUCGAUCGUCGGUAUCCCAAUACCUCGUUCAAUAUCGUUACCAGAAAGUCACUUUACUCGUUCCGUAAUGCAUGAUCCCGUGACUAACUACUUAGUCACAUUGAGCUCAUUAUGAUGAUGCAAUACCGAGUGGGCCCAGAGAUACCUCUCCGUCAUACGAAGUGACAAAUCCCAGUCUCGAUCCGAGCCAACCCAACAGACACUUUCGGAGAUACCUGUAGUGCACCUUUAUAGCCACCCAGUUACGUUGUGACGUUUAGUACACCCAAAGCAUUCCUACGGUAUCCGGGAGUUGCACGAUCUCAUGGUCUAAGGAAAUGAUACUUGACAUUAGAAAAGCUUUAGCAAACGAACUACACGAUCUAGUGCUAUGCUUAGGAUUGGGUCUUGUCCAUCACAUCAUUCUCCUAAUGAUGUGAUCCCGUUAUCAAUGACAUCCAAUGUCCAUGGUCAGGAAACCGUAACCAUCUAUUGAUCAACGAGCUAGUCAACUAGAGGCUCACUAGGGACAUGUUAUGGUCUAUGUAUUCACAUAUGUAUUACGAUUUCCGGAUAACACAAUUAAAUCAUGAACAAUAGACAAUUAUCAUGAACAAGGAAAUGUAAUAAUAACCAUUUUAUUAUUGCCUCUAGGGCAUAUUUCCAACAGUGCCGACUUGGAGAUUCUGCCUCUGCGAGCUGGCAUGCAGCCGCCUGGACUGUCGACGGAGGCGGAGCUACAACUGCCUGUAUCAUCGUGGGAUGCAUAGCAGAGAGUUGCCUGACUCAUAUCCGGUGGGCUCGACGGGCCACCCAGCCAGCUUGUAUGCCGGAGAACUCGGCCUCCUGCUCGCCGGAUACCAUGGAGCUGCGGAGAAAAUGAAGGAAAUAUGCCCUAGAGGCAAUAAUAAAGUUGUUAUUUUCCUUAUAUCAUGAUAAAUGUUUAUUAUUCAUGCUAGAAUUGUAUUAACCAGAAACUUAGUACAUGUGUGAAUACAUAGACAAAACAUAGUGUCCCUAGUAUGCCUCUACUUGACUAGCUCGUUAAUCAAAGAUGGUGAAGUUUCCUGACCAUAGACAUGUGUUGUCAUGUGAUGAACGGAUCACAUCAUUAGAGAGUGAUGUGAUGGACAAGACCCAUCUGUUAGCUUAGCAUAAUGAUCAUUAAGUUUUAUUGCUAUUGCUUUCUUCAUGCUUAUACAUAUUCCUCUAACUAUGAGAUUAUGCAACUCCCGAAUACCGGAGGAACACCUUAUGUGCUAUCAAACGUCACAAGGUAACUAGUUGAUUAUAAAGAUGCUCUACAGGUGUCUCCAGAGGUGUUUGUUGGGUUGGCAUAGAUCAAGAUUAUGAUUUGUCACUCCGAGUAUCGGAGAGGUAUCUCUGGGCCCUCUCGGUAAUGCACAUCACUAUAAGCCUUGCAAGCAAUGUGACUAAUAAGUUAGUUACGGGAUGAUGCAUUACGGAACGAGUAAAGAGAUUUGCCGGUAACGAUAUUGAACUAGGUAUGAUGAUACCGAUGAUCGAAUCUCGGGAAAGUAACAUACUGAUGACAAAGGGAAUGACGAAUGUUGUUAUGUGGUUUGACCGAUAAAGAUCUACGUAGAAUAUGUAGGAACCAAUAUGAGCAUCCAUGUUCUGCUAUUGGUUAUUGACCGGAGAUGUGUCUCGGUCAUGUCUACAUAGUUCUCAAACCCUUAUUGUUGGGGAUAUAGCUACUAAGUUAACCCGCCCAGGAGGGGCCGGGUUAACUCCUGGUGACUCACAAGACAAAGCCCAUGAAGGAAUCGAAGAUGGCGGUUCAUGAGGAUGACUUAUGAAGAGCCCAAGGCCCAAAGGCGGCUUAAGGCCAGUAGGUGUAAACCGCCAUAUAUACGUGACUUGUAUUAUAAGUAGUUGUAAUUAAGUCACCGAGCCGGAUACGUUUAUGAGCCGGCCGGGACUCUGUAAGCCACCGGGCGUCAACCUGAGUAUAUAAAGGGACGACCCGAUGGCGAGUUAGGGGACAGACAACAAACCGAGAACUAGGUCAAGCGUAUUCGCUCCCUGGUAAUCGAGACAUAAGCAAUACCACCUCAAACUGGAUUAGGCCUUUACCUUUGCCGCAAGGGGCCGAACCAGUAUAAACUCCCCGUGUCCUUUGUCCCAUUCAACCGCUUUAAGCUAACCUAGUUGCGAUGGCUCCACGACUAAGUCCUCACACUAGGACAUCUCCAAUGACAAUCCCACGAUAGUUGGCGCCCACCGUGGGGCUGGCGCACGGUGGUUUCGAGUUCUUAAAGGGCAACUUCGAAGGGAUCAAGGGAUACGCUGUGGGCCGGAUGGCGAAGAUUCGUCGUGGCAAGCUCUACAUCGACGACGCAGGCUGGGGCCUCGAGGCCGGCUCAAUCGAGUACGGGUACCGGGUCCCCUUCGGCGGAAUCCACGUCUUCAUCGGCAAGAUCGGCAAGCCAGGCCCUGAGCCAGACACCUGCCCCGACAUCAUCGAGACGGCUCGGCGUGCGAGACCCGCCCGCCGUGAAGCGUGCCUUCAUGGGAUUCAUUCACGGAGCGGAACCUGAGGAUAGAUCCGUGUCUGGCGGUGACACGGUCGUUUACUCGGAUGAUGAGUCAUCUGGUGAAACAGAAUCGCUGUACCAACUGCAAGAUGGCCGGCUUGGGGGCUAUUCCAAUGGCAACAGUAUUCCGGACCCCUAUGAGCCGCCGAACAGAGCUGCGAUCUUUAUGGACGAUACGCAAUCAGUGCAGAACUCUUCGACUGCGGCAACAAUAAUCUCCGGGUCAGCAGCGGCAACGGCUGCCGGGGCAGGAGGCCCUGUGCGCGUGCCGGCUCAAAUCGUAACCAACCUGCUGGAUAAACUGACAACAUUGUUAACAGCGGUGGUUAACCCGGCAGAUCAGGAUCAGCAUAAUGCAGAAGUUGCGAAACUGCGUGAUGAGAUAGCACAGACCAAGGAGGAGCUGAACGUAGAGAAUACUAGGAUGGCUGCGGAGCGGGCCGCUUUGGAUGCUCAGGCGCAACGGAUUCAAUCGGAGUCUUUCCGUCUCAUGAUGGACCAGAACGCUUCAAACGAAGUCAUGAGGAGGAGGCAUCAGACCCGUCUGCCAUCGGUUUACGAGGCGAGAAAUCUCUUUAACACGCCUGGAGGAGGGCCUAGUAACCCGCCUGAGGUAAACCGGGGUGAAGCGCCUGGGACGGGGCACCGGUUCAGCCGCCUAGGACAGAGCCACCACAUCUGAAUACGACUCCGCCUCAACAUGUGCUGACGCCGCCGGGUCAUUAUUCUAACCCUUUGGAUAAUAUGAUUGCUGCGGCGACACGACUGGCCGCUCUACCAGUUGAGGGUGAGUCGCCGGUGGCAAUGGAGAUACGACGGGCCGGAGAAUUACUUCAGACAGCUUUGGCCCAACAGGCAUCUUAUUCUCACAAGAUCCAUUCAACCCCUCGCCCAAGUCGGAGUUAUAGCAGGCAUAUCGAUGAGCCGACUGUGUCAAGCAGUGGGCGGAACUGCAACCCGCCCCGUGGACAGAACCUAGUAGGUGGUGGGGUUAAUGCCCAGAACAUAGUGGAUCAAGGAAGAAUGCGUCGGGAGGCUGAGCAGGCAGCUCAGUAUGCGGCUCGUCAGCAUUCCCCGGAUCGUCCGACAACUUCGGUGGAGACAGGUGUGACUUCCAGGACUUUGGGUGUGCCGUGUUUGGUACGGGCUUUGCGUAACGUACAUUUUCCCAAGGAUUUCAAGGGUCCCCGUAAGGUGCCCAACUACACAGUCAACUUACCCCCUGAAACAUGGGUUGAGAGUUAUGAGAUGGCGAUGGAACUACUGGAUGUUGACGAUGCUGCAUGUGCUAAGUACUUCACCAUGAUGUUGGAAGGAACAAUUCAUACUUGGUUGAAAGGGUUGCCAGCCAACUCCAUUGGGUCAUGGGCCAAGUUAAAAGCCCACUUUAUCCAGAAUUUUAAAGAUACGUGCAAGCAGCCUAUGUCAAUUGUGGAUUUAGCCUCCUGUGUCCAAGAAGAAGGUGAGUCGACAACCCAUUGGGUGCGCUGGGUCUCAACAAUCCUGCACUCGUCGGAUCGCAUCAAUGCCGAUUCAGCAGUCUUAAUGUUGGAGAACAAUUGUUGUUUCACGCCCCUGAAGUAGAAAUUAGGGCGGCUCAAACGCCACUGCAAUGACAUGGGGACACUCAUGGCGGCUCUGGUUAAGUAUGUUGACUCGGAUGGUACCAAGGACCCCGAGUAUGAUGAUGAAAAGCCGUGAAAGGGAAAUAAGAGCAGUAACACCAGAGGGCAUCAGCAUAACCCGGUGAGUCAGGGAGGCAACGGUAAGCGCAAAGCUGAUAAAAAUUUGGACUUUGUGGCUAAUACCAAUGCGCGGAAUAAUGGUCAGCGUCGAAAGGGUAAGCCGCCCCCACAUCUUGGGGGAUCAGGCUUCAAUCUUGAGCAGAUGCUGAAUCAGCCCUGCCCGAGGCAUGGUACACGUGAAAGGCCGUCCACUCACCUUUGGAAGGAUUGCUUCAUCAUGAAGGAGUACAAAAAUUCCAAUCUUCUUCAAAACAAUCAUGGGCCAGGUGGCGGCUCAGGAUCCGGUUCUCAGGGCCCGGGUUAUGGUGGUGGUGGUUCUAACACAGGAUUCCAAGGUAAUCAAGGCAAUCAUGGCAAUCAGGGUGGUUUCCAUCAACAGUCUGGUCAGGGCAACCAGCAGCAGCAUCAGUCCGGUUAUCAGAAUAACCCGAAGCAGCUGAAUAGUGGACAGUACCAUGUCUUCACCACGAGUUUAUGCAAGCGGGACCAGAAGCUCCAUAAAAGGGCUGUGAAUGCCGUUGAGCCGGCAACUCCUCAUUACUUGCGAUGGUCUGAGCAACCCAUUGUAUGGAGUCGGGAGGAUCACCCGGCCCGGGUUGACAAUCCAGGUCAUCUGGCUUUGGUUGUGGCACCUCAGGUUGGAGGGUACAAGUUCACUAAAGUACUUAUGGAUGGAGGUAGCAACAUCAAUAUCCUUUAUUAUGAUACUUUCCGUCGUAUGGGGUUGACUGAUAAAAAUCUUAAGCCGUCCAAUACUGUUUUCCAUGGAGUGGUACCUGGUAAGUCGGCAUAUCCGGUAGGCAAGAUUGCUUUGGAGGUCACCUUUGGGGAUGAAUAUGAUUCCCGGGCUGAGACAUUAACCUUUGAGGUGGUCAAGAUUCAAAGCCCAUAUCAUGCUCUGUUUGGACGGCCGGUUUAUGCCAAGUUCAUGGCACGGCCUUGUUAUGUUUAUCUGCAGCUCAAGAUGCCGGGUUACAAGGGUCCUAUCAUAGUGCAUGGAAGCCGGAAGAUAGCUUUGGAAUGCGAAGAGGGGGACACGGCUUAUGCUGAGUCCGUGUGUGCCACAGAGGAAUUGAAGUUCUAUAAGGCCAAUGUUGACCCGGCUGACAUGAUGUCUCUGAAAAAGCCAACUACGAAGCAUGACCCGGCCUUGAAGUUCUAUGCUAGUUGACUUCGUUCUUGGUGAUUUGUCUAAGCAGUUCAGCAUCAGUGCUAAUCUGGAUCCGAAAUAGGAAAGCACGCUCAUCGAGUUCAUCCGUGAGAACCAGGACAUUUUUGCCUUCUGACAUGCCAGGUGUACCGAGGGAACUCACUGAGCACAGUCUUAAUAUUGAUCCGAAGUUUAAGCCGGUGAAGCACUCCGUCGUUUUAAUGAAGAGAGGCGAAAUGCCAUUGGUGAAGAAGUGUCCCGGCUCCUGGCAGCCGGGUUCAUUGUUGAAGUUUUUCAUCCUGAGUGGUUGGCUAACCCGGUGCUGGUACUUAAGAAGAAUGGCACUUGGCGUAUGUGUGUGGAUUACACAGAUUUGAACAAAGCUUGUCCGGCUGAUCCUUUUGCUCUCCCUCGUAUUGACCAAAUUAUUGAUGCUACAACGGGUUGUGAGCGUUUCAGUUUUUUGGAUGCUUAUUCUGGUUAUCAUCAGAUCAACAUGUCAGUUAAGGACCAGGAGAAGAUAGCGUUUAUCACUCCCUUUGGAGCCUUCUGUUAUGUGUCUAUGCCUUUUGGGCUCAAGAGUGCCCAGGCGACUUACCAGCGAUGUGUGCAGAAUUGCCUUCAUAAUCAGAUUGGGCGCAAUGUUCAUGCUUAUGUGGAUGAUAUUGUGGUGAAAUCGAGAAAGAAGGAAACAUUGGUAGACGAUUUAAAGGAGACCUUUGAUAAUCUCCGGGUUUAUAAGAUGAUGCUUAACCCUGCCAAAUGUGUUUUUGGUGUGCCGGCAGGCAAGCUCUUGGGUUUUCUGGUUUCUAACAGAGGCAUUGAAGCUAAUCCGGAGAAGAUCAAAGCCAUUACUUCUUUGGCUAAGCCGGCGUGUAUCAAUGAUGUUCAGUGUCUGGCGGGUCGUAUUGCGGCCCUAACCUGGUUCGUAAGCCGGUUGGGAGAAAAGGCUAUCCCUCUGUAUCAGAUGAUGAAAAAGACAGAUAAUUUUGUCUGGAGUGACGCCGCUAAUACAACAUUUGAGGACUUGAAGAAGCAGCUGUCUAAGCCGCCCGUUCUUGCUGCUCCUAUUGAUAAGGAGCCGUUGUUGUAUGUGGCUGCUAAUGCCCGCGCUGUCAGCGUAGCUAUUGUGGUGGAACGGAAGGAGGCAUGCAAGGAAUAUCCGGUUCAAAGGCCGGUUUACUACAUCAGUGAGGUACUUAUUGAAUCCAAGCAGAGGUAUCCGCACUGGCAGAAGCUUGUAUAUGGAGUGUUCAUGGCCAGCCGGAAGCUUAAGAAAUAUUUUUGGGUCAUCCCAUCACCAUGGUUAGUUCUGCUCCUUUAGGGGAUAUUAUUCAAAACAGGGAAGCAGCAGGUCGGAUAGCCAAGUGGGCUAUUGAGAUUGGACCUCACGGUCUGAAGUAUAUGCCUCGCACAGCCAUCAAGUCUCAAGCAUUGGUGGAUUUCAUCAAUGACUGGACAGAGCUGCAGAUGCCUGAAGAAAAGCCAGAUAACACAUAUUGGACUAUUCACUUUGACGGGUCCAGGGAAUUGGAGGGCUCGGGGGCUGGAGUCGUGCUAGCUUUCCCUCGAGGUGAUAAAUUUUGUUAUGUUCUCCGAUUAAUGUUCCCUUGCACUAACAAUGCAGCUGAAUAUGAGGCCUUGCUCCACGGUCUUCGGAUGGCUAAGGAGAUGAACUUAAGCCGGGUGAGGUGCUUUGGCGACUCAGACUUGGUAGCUCAACAAGUUUCUGGUACUUGGGAUUCUAAGGAUCCACUCAUGGCGGCUUACCGUCGAGAGGUUGAUGCUAUUGCGGGUCACUUCAAGGGUUAUCAGGUCGAGCAUAUUGAUCGAAGGAAGAACGAGGCGGCUGAUGCUUUAAGCCGGCUAGGCUCUCAGCGUAAGCCGGUGCCACCUAAUACUUUCUUAGAUAUUUUGUAUAACCCCUCAGUCAAGUUGCCUACAGAGGAAGAUCUUGCUAUUCCUGACCCGGAAGCACAGUUGGUAGCAGCUCUUCAUGUAAUUCCUGAUUGGACAGUUCCAUAUUUGGCAUAUAUGACCCGAGGCGAGUUACCUGAGGAUGAAACUUUGGCCAGGCAGAUAACUCGGCGGUCCAAAUCAAUGACCAUUGUCAAUGGAGAGCUACAUCAUUGUAGUGUCACAGGGGAGUUUCAACGUUGUGUUUCACCUGAAGAAGGCUGUGAAACUCUGCGAGAGAUUCAUGAAGGAGAUUGUGGUCAUCAUGCUGGCUCUAAAUCUCUUGUUGCUAAGGCUUUUCGUCAUGGCUUUUAUUAGCUGACGGCUCAUGCUGAUGCUGAAGACCUGGUCCGUAAGUGUGAUGGAUGUCAGAAAUUUUCACGACGAGCCCAUGUUCUGGCUCAAGAAUUGAGGAUGAUUCCAAUUACUUGGCCAUUUGCAGUCUGGGGGCUUGAUAUGGUUGGACCUUUCAAAAGCUCCAAGGAUAAAAAACACACCUCCUGGUGGCAGUUGACAAGUUUACAAAGUGGGUUGAGGCAGAGCCGGUCAGUAAAUGUGAUGCGGCAACGGCGGUUCAAUUCAUUAAAAAGGUGAUUUUCCGUUUUGGCUUUUCCCACAGUAUCAUAACUGAUAAUGGAACUAAUCUCUCCAAGGGAGCCAUGGAAGAGUUUUGUCAACGUGAGCAUAUUCGACUUGAUGUGUCAUCGGUGGCUCACCCCCAGUCCAAUGGUCAAGCUGAGAGAGCCAAUCAAGAAAUUUUGAAAGGCAUCAAGCCCCGGCUUAUGGUUCCUUUGCAGAGGACACCGGGUUGUUGGGUGGAAGAGUUACCCUCAGUCAUAUGGAGUAUCAAUACUACCCCAUUAGGUCUACGGGUUACAUGCCCUUCUUCAUGGUUUAUGGAGCAGAAGCAGUUCUUCCUAGUGACAUCCGUCACGACUCGCCUUGACCUGUUGGAUGAAGCUGAUAAUGAAAAAGCACGUCAGGAUGCACUUGACCUGUUGGAUGAGGAGCGUGACCUUGCGAUGGCUCGUUCGGCGAUUUACCAGCAAGAUCUUCGCCGCUAUCACAGCCGCCGGGUUAAGACCAGAACUUUUCAGGAAGGUGAUUUGGUGCUCCGGCUUAUCCAGGAUCAAACUGAUAUGCACAAGCUAUCCCCGCCUUGGGAAGGACCUUUUGUGGUCAGCAAGAAUCUGAAAAAUGGGUCAUACUACCUUAUCGAUGUUCGAGACCACAAGGACUCACGCACGUCGGAGGAGGAGACCUGCCGGUCGUGGAAUAUUGCUCAUCUUCGGCCUUACUAUACCUGAGCCACAGGCUCUUCUGAUGUACAUAUUUUGACAAUGUAUAUAUUAUGCUAAAUAUAAUAAAGCUGGCAUCCCUGAUAAAGCAGGGCCUCUGUCGCUUUAUCUCUAAUAAAUAAUGAAUUUAUGGAAAUUUCAUGUGAUCACAUGGGGGCUUCCGACUUAUUGAGCAAAGUUAUGAUUACCCUUUGAUCCGGCUUAUAUGCCAUGAUUAUAAAAAUACUUGGGGGUUUGCUACCCAGGUUAAAGGGACCAAAGAGAGUAUGUUGCAAAGCACAACUCAAACAUAGGUGCCCAUUGAGCACAGCUCAAAAAUAUUAAUUGGGGGCUCUUUGUUCAACGGACAAGAGUUCUUAUAACCCUUGUAAUAGGCUUAAAAGGCAGGCUUGGAAGCCAGGUGUAUUCACCUAAAAAUCCGGGUUAUCCUGCCUUUUUAAGUCUGCCACUCCGACCAGGUAAUCCUGGAAUGACCCGCCAUACUUUUGACAAGUCAAUCUUAUACAGACCCUGAACUUGUCAGAGUUAAAACGACGAUUGGUUAUGUGAGGUCCGACUUAUAAGGUUUGUAUGAGGGUUUAACUCAGUGGCUGUGCGGCCCUUGAAAGCACUUGAUUUUAAGGCUUGGAAGCCUAUGAAACGCCUUGUUAUCUUUUGUUUUUUAUUGGAAAGUUUUUUGAGGAUUAUCUUUUACAUGUUAAAAACCAAUGAGGUUUCUAAUGUUGCAAAUAUCCGGUGUUUAUUAAACCCGGCCUGGCUUUGGACUACAAGUCGCCAGUAUAUGAUAAGAAAAUAUCCGGUGUUUGUUAAAACCUGGCCUAGUUUUGAACUAUAAGUCGCCAGUACAUGAUGAUAUUGAAUUACUUGGAAGCAUUGUGCUCUAAGGUUUGGGAUAUUACCCCUUACAGCUUAUGACAUCAUAAGCCGGCAACAUAUGACAGUUGAGAAAGAGCAUUGUGUGUUCAAAUUUUUGGGUUAUCACCCUUACUACAUUGGUAUGAUAAGCCAACAGUAUAAUCAAAUAUCAAAGGUAUGAUAUAUUUUGUUAUGAUUACAUGUGGUUAUGAUUAAACUAGCCCUGGUUAUAAACUGUUUUAGUUACUAGUGGUUCUAUAUUGGGCAUUAUGACCCGCCCUGCGGUAAACCGCCAGGAUACUUGUAAUCUAUUUGUAUGCAAGAACAUAUUCAAAUUGCCAAUAACAUAAGCAGAAGUGGCAGAUCCUAAAUUGGCGGAUCUAUAGUGUCAUGCAAAGCAAAAUAUGCGCGAUGGCAUAGCAGGUCAAGAAGUUUAAGCUAGCCUAUUACAAGGCAUCUGAUGGCCCAACAAGAAUAAGUAUUCAUUGAAGUUAUCAGUGCAGUAAAAUAUUCUGAUAAGAACACCAACUUAUGAUUGUUGGCGGGUUGAAGCUUCAGGAUCUUCUUGCACCUCUUCUUCAUCUUCAACUCCUUGCUUAUCAAUCGGCUGGAAGUCAGACGUAGCCCAGUUGAUACCGGUCAACGCUCUAAACACAGCCUCAUCAUCAAUAAGAUUGGAUGGAUCAAUAUCAGGGGCAAAGGUGUGCUUACGAAUUGGAGGAAUAAGAUCUGUUGGCUCAUGAACUGGCACGCUAAGCUUCUUGUUGUCGGCAUCAUAAGCCGCCUGGUACGUGGAUAAGCUGGUCUCGUCGGCUAGUUUGCUUGCUAACGGACGCAUAGAUCUUGCUAUUUCUGCGAAGCCAUCAGCGCUGAAGUCCGAUCCAUCUUCUUUUACACUGGGGCAGCCAUUGGCCAAAUCCUCCGGGUCAAGAUCGGCCUGCCAUGCUUUGGCCCGGCUUAAAGCAGUUAAAGCGCCAACUCUGGCAGCUCCCUGUUUUAAGUCGUCAAUUCUUUUGGGCAGCACUGAUAAUUGCUUCAAAGUGUCUUGGAUAAGUGUUGAAGGAGUUUUCUUGUGCAUUGUAGCAACGAUGGUUCGUUGAGUACCGGUAUAUAGCUGCUCUACAAGAGUGUAGACAGCUUUAAGCUAGACGUGCAUAUCCGAGCCUAACUUAGCGCUCCGAGAGCCUGUAUCAGUAAAAUUAUGGGUAAGCCGACAACCGUUUACUAUAUGAUUGUUAAGAUGCAAUGGAGACAUGUUCUUACCAAAGACGGCUGAUGACAUAAUGUUAAUUUGCUGCUUUAAGCCGGAUAACUCUUCAGUCACCGGUUUAAGCACGGUUUCAGCUUCUUCUGCUCUCUUCAAUAGAGCUGCCUUCUCAGUUUCCCAGCCAGCUUUCUCAGAUUUGAAGUUCUGUUUUAACUGCUCAAUAGUUUCCAAAGCAGAUUUCAGUUCUGACUUGGCCUUGGAUGUUUCCGAUUGUUGAGUUUUGAUGUUGGCCUUAAGGUCAUUAAGCUGUGAGUCUUUUUCAGCCAAUUCAGCCUGUGACAUCAGCACACACAGACAAGGUUAUGGUUAUGAUUACUCUUUGAAGUCCCAAGCAUAAUACAAGUAUUACUCUUGGCACUUGGGGGCUAAUGCAUAUUGCUCUUUUGAACAAACAAAAUUUUGAAAGUACCAAGCACAGUACAAGUAUUAUCCUUGGCAUUUGGGGGCUAAUGCAUAUUUCUUUGUUCCAAGCUAUAUUUAUUACCUGGGCAAAUGAUGUCAGCCGGCUUAUAAAGUCUCUAGACUGGGUUGUUAAUUUUCAACAAGUGAUAAGUCUUAGCUUAACAUAAUUGUUAAGCCGACCCUUGGGGGCUACGGAUGCAAUGUUUAUUUCUAUUAUUCAAAAGUCCCGGCUUAACAUAAUUGUUAAGCCGACCCUUGGGGGCUACAUGUGCAGAGUUGAAGUACUAUUAUCACAAGACCGGCUACUGAGUUUUAUCUAUGCAAUUAUUGAAGUCCACCGCACAUUCUAUUCUAUCAUGUCCAGUAAACUUGGCGGCUAAGGGAAAUAUACUUAUAUGAAAGGGAUUGCAAUAUUUACCUCAUAGCGUUCCUUCAUCAAGUUCACUAAGCCGGCUUUGAAGUCACGGCUGGUAUAUAGGCGAUUCAAAUAGCCGGAAUGGAGGUCUUGGGCACUGAAAUGAGUGUAACUCUCCAGGUCUACUUUCCACUUGCCCUUAUCUUCAGCAGAAAGUUCUUCUUUGGCGUUGUGCCUGGAUAAGGCAGUAGGACGACAAGGAGUUGUGAAACCAUGGCCAGCAAUGGUGACAUCAUCAUUUUUUCCUCGGCCGGCUUAACAGGACUGGUUGUCCUAAUAGGACUUGGCGGAUUAGCAUCAGACGGGUUAUCAUUCAUUGGGUCAAUAUCAACAUUAUGAUCUUGUGGUGGAAAAUCGUCAACAAUGUUGUCAGCAAUUGGCUGAGAAAGCUCUGGUUGUUGUUUUUCCGGCUCAGGCGGAUUGGGAUCAUUGACCGGCUUAUCCAGUUUCACCUUUUUACUGGGUUUAGCUUGGCCCCUGAAAAACAAGAAAUAAAAGAAGUCAAGAUGAUGAUCAAGCAUGAAAAUUGGAAUAGUUGAAAAUAGUUUUACCCAGGCACAGUCUUGAAAGCCGGAAUUUGUGUUCCUGUUGACUCGCCAGAGGAGGAAUGAGAAGUCCCCUGAUAGUUCGAAUCAGACGGGUUAAGAGGUUGUCGAAAAUAACCCGCCUUGGGGUAAAGUAUGUCAGAAAUAUGUAAGACCUCUGGACGGUGUUUGCGAAGUGGAGUGUUCGGUAACCCAGAAGAAGUGAUCACGUUGCCGCUAUGCCGGGUCAUUCUGCGAGCUUCAUGUUGUUGUUUCUUCAAAAGAAAGUUUGGAUCCAAGUAAGCUAGAGGGUGAUAAAAUCUUACUUUCCGGCUUGCUUGACGAGUUUUUUGUGUUGGCAGAGGUUCUGAGCCGGAGGAAAGAAUAAUUACCUCUGUGUCACCUGCACGGCUAGCCUCUGCGUCGUCCUGAUAACAAUCAUUGUCAAUGAGAUGUAUGAAAAAAGAGCCAAGUGAAUCAAGUUCUACCUCUGACUCAUGAUUAUCAUCGUCAUCGUCAAUAUUUAACUCGGCAGACUCGGCGGUUUUCUUUUUGGAAGGUUUCUUGUUGGCCUUGGUUUUGACACGAGGUGCUUUGGCCGGCUUAUCCUGCGGUUUCCUCUUCCAAAAUGGGUCAUCAUCAUGUUAAGAUUGGAAAGAUCAUAAGAGAAUAUUAGGAAUGAGGAUUAAGUAGGAGUUGAGCAAUUCUUACGGCUGGUGGCUUGUUGACAGUGCAGAAAGGACUAAGUCCAGUUUUGUUGCACUCUUUUACAGGCUAAUUCAAUAGUUUUUUGGUGGCUUCAGUAACUUCUGCUUCAGUUAGCUGAAUUUCACAAUGGCGCUGAGGAUCUUUAACAUCACCAGUAUAUUUGCACAUUAAGCCGGUGCGGCGGCUUAAUGGCAAGAUACCCCAAGACAACCAACACCGAAAAAAAUCGACGCCAGUUAAGCCGUUGCCCGUAAAGGCUCGGAGCUUUGAGAAGGCAGGUGCAUACUUGGCCCGUUCCUUUGCAUCAAGACGUUGGGGAAGUGGGUGGUUGUUGUUAAGCCGGUGCUCGCGGUAACCCGGCAGAUGAUAUUCACCAGUUGGAGAGGUAUCUUUAACAUAGAACCAAGUCUGGUUCCAAUCUUUGGGGUGGCUAUGCAGCUUGGCGUGAGGAAAACUGACAUCUUUCCUCUUCUGAAUAAUGACUCCACCAAGUUCUUGGCAUGGCCCGUCAACAAAUUCAGUCUGGCGGUUUAAAUAAUAGAAUUCCCUGAACAGAUCAACCGUGGGCUCUUCUUGAAGAUUGGCUUCACAGAAUACUUGAAAGUUGCAAAUAUUAGACACGGAGUUGGGUCCGAUGUCUUGAGGAUGCAGUUGGAGGAAAUGAAGCACAUCACAAUUUUUUUUGAGCCGGGAGGGCUGAACCCCCGACCCAAGUGAUUAGUAAAAACGAUUACUUCUCCUUCUUUGGGUUGAGGAAGGACUUCAUCACCAGGAGCCCUCAAGUGGAUAUCCUCCUUUUUGGCUAAGGCACCAGUGGCAACAUAAUUGUUCAGUUCUUCCUCAGUAACCCGGGAUUUGACCCAAUUGCAAGAAGUAUACGCCUUAGCCAUUUCUGAAAAAGAAAUUUUAUGCCGGUUUAAGUUCACAUGGUCAAGCCGGCUUACGGUUAAAGGACAAAUAAUAAUGAAGCAUGACUAGGUAUUAAGCCGGAGAUUGAUAUUUCAAGAUUACCGAAGAACUAGUGGCGGCUUAAGAGGGGACUAAUGAUACCUGGCGGGUUACUAUUUUUUGAGUUAAGCCGCUUAUACCGAUGUUGAAAGAGCAGAUCUACGGAUGAGGAAAAUGGCUAAGUGUUCAGAAAAACAGUUUUCACAGAUUGAUGCGAUAAUUUUGGAUCUAUGGUGCGUUAGAUAAAUGGAAAAUAUUUAGACCUAAAUUACGGUGCUUGAGCAGUUCCUAAGAUCCAGAUCGAGUUUUCCGUUUUACGGGAGAUGCCCUGAUAGUGAAAAUAAGUACUAUGAACAUUACCGCGCAGGAAAGAUACCAAGCUCAAGUCAAAAAGGAGUGCUACAGCAAAGAACGAGGACGAACUUUGACGAACUCUGUCGAAACCCUAAUGGAUCUAUAUGGAGAGGAAGAAGAAGGACUAACCAGGGCUGUUGAGCAGCGGAGGUGCGCAGAUGAAAUCUGGACCGAACAGGUUGAUGCAGCGGCCGUCGUCGGAGUAGAGGUGAAGGUUGACGGCGGCGGCGGAGGUCGCGUGCUAGGGUGUCGCGAGGAAGAAGACAAGACGAAGAGGCACAGGGGGGGGAGUGAAAGAGACCCCCCGACUCUAUUUAUAAGGCAAAUGGAUAAGUGACAAGCGCGGGAAUCGAGGAAAAAAAUAGAUAUGUGACAAUAUAGAUGCCUCGGUUUUCGGAGAUUCAUUAAAAUGAGGAGGUACAUUAAAGAUUUUGGUUCUGAGUAAAAUUAAUGACAGGUGAUGUCAUGGCGGGUUAUCAUGAUUCCAGAGGAUGAUGUCAUGGCGAGUUACAAGUUUUUGUGAAGGUAAUGAAGAAGGAAUUUUUCUAAAUGUUGAAGGUUGAUGUGAACAAGUUCAAAUCAACCUGGGGCCUAAUGUUGGGGAUAUCGCUACUAAGUUAACCCGCCCAGGAGGGGCCGAGUUAACUCCUGGCGACUCACAAGACAAAGCCAAUGAAGGAAUCGAAGAUGGCGGUUCAUGAGGAUGACUUAUGAAGAGCCCAAGGCCCAAAGGCGGCUUAAGGCCCGUAGGUGUAAACCGCCAUAUAUAUGUGACUUGUAUUAUAAGGUAGUUGUAAUUAAGUCACCGAGCCUGAUACGUUUAUGAGCCGCCCGGGACUCUGUAAGCCAUCGGGCGUCAACCUGAGUAUAUAAGGGACGACCCGGCGGCGAGUUAGGGGACAAACAAUAAACCGAGAACUAGGUCAAGCGUAUUCGCUCCCUGGUAAUCGAGACAUAAGCAAUACCACCUCAAACUGGAUUAGGCCUUUACCUUCACCGCAAGGGGCCGAACCAGUAUAAACUCACUGUGUCCUUUGUCCCGUUCAACCCCUUUAAGCUAACCUAGUUGCGAUGGCUCCACGACUAAGUCCUCACACUAGGACAUCUGCCGUGACAAUCCCACAACACGUAGGGUCCGCACGCUUAACGUUCGAUGACGAUUUGUAUUAUGAGUUGUGUGUUUUGGUGACCGAAGUUUGUUCAGAGUCCCGGAUGAGAUCACGGACAUGACGAGGAGUCUCGAAAUGGUCGAGAGGUAAAGAUUGAUAUAUUGGAAGGUUAUGUACGAACACCGGAAUGGUUUCGAAGAGGUUCGGGGAUUUUUGGAGUACCGGGAGGUUACCGAAACCCCCCGGGAAAGUUAAUGGGCCUCAUGGGCCAUAGUGGAGAGAGGGAGGGAGGUCACAAGAGGUGGCGCGCGCCCCCUGACCAAUCCGAAUUGGACAAGGGGUGGGGGGUGCGCCCCCCCUUUCCUUCUCCCUCUCCUCCUCUUUCCCCUUUCCCCUCUCCGUUGGAAGGAAGGGGGAGGGGGCGAAUCCUACUAGGAGUGGAGUCCUAGUAGGACUCCCCCCAUGGCGCACCACCCCUUGGGCCGGCCACCUCCUCCUCCCCUCCUUUAUAUACGGGGGCGGGGGGCACCCCAAAGGCACAUCAAUUGUUCUCUUAGCCGUGUGCGGUGCCCCCUCCAGAUUUUACUCCUCCGGUCAUAGCAUCGUAGUGCUUAGGUGAAGCCCUACACAGAUCCCAUCACCAUCACCUUCACCACUCCGUCGUACUGACGGAACUCUCCCUCGACCCUAUGCUGGAUCAAGAGUUCGAGGGACGUCAUCGAGCUGAACGUGUGCUGAACUCGGAGGUGUCGUACGUUCGGUACUAAGAUCGGUUGGAUCAUGAAGACGUUCGACUACAUCAACCGCGUUAACCUAACGCUUCCUCUUUCGGUCUACGAGGGUACGUGGACACACUCUCCCCCUCUCGUUGCUAUGUAUCUCCUAGAUAGAUCUUGCAUGAGCGUAGGAUUUUUUUUUGAAAUUGCAUGCUACGUUCCCCAACAAAAAAUGGUGUGCAAGGAGGAGAUGGGAGCAGAGUGUAGUGCGAUUUUUGCUGGCAUCUGGCAUCGUUGCGGAGCCAACCAGCAUUGUGUUUAAUGACGGGCGGAUCGCGAACGGAUGUGUGGCCGGAGUAGGUUUCUUGGCACACACACGAGUCUUAAUGGAGGAAGGCGGACAGUCUGCAUCCGUUUGAACGCGACGAGAAGGCAUGUUCAGCCGGGCGAGCAGCGGGCGGUGCUCUCUCAGCCGGUGCGCUGGUUCAAUGCCGGCAGUGAGAGGUCGCGUCCGUCUGCGCCGCCCUCCUGUCUGGUCAAAUCACGGGUAUCAAUGCCCGCCGCUGCAUGCUCUAGGCCGACAUGAAUGCGGCGCGACGCAAAGCGCGGGAGGGGCGUGAAGGAAAUAUGCCCCAGAGACAAUAAUAAAGUUGUUAUUUUAUAUUUGCUUAUUCAUGAUAAAUUUUUAUUAUUCAUGCUAGAAUUGUAUUGAUCAGAAACCUAAAUACAUGUGUGAAUACAUAGACAAACAUUGUGUCCCUAGUGAGCCUCUACUUGAAUAUCUCGUUGAUCAAAGAUGGUUAAGGUUUCCUGACCAGGGACAUGAGUUGUCAUUUGAUAACGGGAUCACAUCAUUAGGAGAAUGAUGUGAUGGACAAGACUCAUCCAUUAGCUUAGCAUAUUGAUCGUUCAGUUUUAUUACUAUUGGUUUCUUCAUGUCAAAUACAUAUUCCUUCGACUAUGAGAUUAUGCAACUCCUGAAUACCGGAGGAAUGCCCUGUGUGCUAUCAAACGUCACAACGUAACUGGGUGAUCAUAAAUAUGCUCUAGAGGUAUCUCUGAAGGUGUUUUUUUGGGUCGGCAUAGAUCGAGAUUAGGAUUUGUCACUCCGAGUAUCGGAGAGGUAUCUCUGGGCCCUCUUGGUAAUACACAUCAUAAGAAGCCUUGCAAGAAAAGUGACUCAUGAGUUAGUUGCGGGAUGAUGUAUUAUGGAACGAGUAAAGAGACUUGCCGGUAACGAGAUUGAACUAGGUAUGAAGAUACCGACGAUCGAAUCUCGGGCAAGUAACAUACCGAUGACAAAGGGAAUAACGUAUGUUGUCAUUACGGUUCGACUGAUAAAGAUCUUCGUAGAAUACGUAGGAGCCAAAAUGAGCAUCCAGGUUCCGCUAUGGAUUAUUGACCAGAGAGGUGUCUCGGUCAUGUCUACAUAGUUCUCGAACCCGUAGGGUCCGCACGCUUAACGUUCGAUGACAAUUUUGUAUUAUAUGAGUUAUGUGAUUUGGUGACAGAAUGUUGUUCAGAGUUCCGGAUGAGAUCACGGGCAUGACGAGGACUCUCUAAAUGGUCGAGAGGUAAAGAUUGACAUAUAUGACAAUAGUAUUCGGACACCGAAAGUGUUCCGGAGGGUACCGGGGACAUAUCGGGUCACCGGAAGGGGUUCCGGGCACCCCCCCGGAAAAGAUAUGGGCCUAAUGGGCCAAGAGGGGAAACGUAGCAGCUGAUACGUCUCCAACGUAUCUACUUUUCCUAACGCUUUUCCUGUUGUGUUUUGGACUCUAAUUUGCAUGAUUUGAAUGAAACUAACCCCAGAUUGACGUUGUUUUCAGCAGAACUACCAUGGUGUUGUUUUUGUGCAGAAAUAAAAGUUCUCGGAAUGGAACGAAACUUUGCGAGGAAUUUUUAUAAAAUAAAUAAAAAUUUCUGGAGCCAAGACCUACCGGAGAGGGGCCCCUAGGUGGGCACGGCGCGCCUAGGUGGGUUGUCCCCACCUGGUGGCCCCGCUGACCCUGAAACCGAUGCUAUAAAAUCCUAUUUUUCCAGAAAAAAAUCAGGGAGAAAGAAUUAUCGCGAUCCACGAGACGGAGCCGCCGUCACCUCCCGUUCUUCAUCGGGAGGCCAGAUCUGGAGUCCGUUUGGGUCUCCGGAGAGGGGGAUCUUCGUUUUUCGUUAUCACCAACCCUUCUCCAUCGCCAAUUCCAUGAUGCUCCCCACCGGGAGUGAGUAAUUCCUUCGUAGGCUCGCUGGUCGGUGAGGAGUUGGAUGAGAUUCAUCAUGUAAUCGAGUUAGUUUUGUUAGGGAUUGAUCCCUAGUAUCCACUAUGUUCUUAGAUUGAUGUUGCUAUGACUUUGCCGUGCUUAAUGCUUGUCACUUUGGGCCCGGGUGCCAUGAACUCAGAUCUGAACCGUUUAUGUUAUCAUAAUUAUAUCCAUGUUUUAGAUCCGAUCUUGGGAAGUUAUAGUCACCUACUACGUGUGAUGAUCCGGUAACCCCGGAGUGACAGAAACUAGGACUUCUUCCGGUGAUGACCGUAGUUUGAGGAGUUCAUGUAUUCACUAUGUGUUAAUGCUUUGUUCCGGUUCUUUAUUAAAAGGAGGCCUUAAUAUCCCUUAGUUUCCAAUAUGGACCCCGCUGCCACGGGAGGUUAGGACAAAAGAUGUCAUGCAAGUUCUUUCCAUAAGCACGUAUGACUAUUUACGGAAUACAUGCCUACAUUAUAUCGAUGAACUGGAGCUAGUGCCGCACCGCCCUAGGUUAUAACUGUCUCUUGAUGAAUAUCAUCCAACAAGUCACCGAUCCAAUGCCUAUGAAUUUAUCUUAUAUUGUUCGUGCUAAGUUACUAUUGCUAUCAUCACUGUUACUGUUACCGUUACUGUUGCUACUAUUAUCAAAACUAUCAAACUACUUUGCUACUGAUCACUUUGCUGUAGAUAAUUAAUCUCUAGGUAUGGUUGAAUUGACAACUCAGUUGCUAAUACCUUCAAAUAUUCUUUGGCUCCCCUUGUGUCGAAUCUAUAAACUUGGGUUGAAUACUCUACCCUCGAAAACUGUUGCGAUCCCCUGUACUUGUGGGUUAUCAAGACCUUUUUCUAGCGCCGUUGCCGGGGAGCAUAGCUAUAUUUGUUGAGUCACUUGGGAUUAUUAUCAAUUUAUCACUAUGAAGAAUCUGAAGGAUCCUAAGUCUAAGAUAUUUCCCUCAAGGACGAGGGGAGGUAAGGAACUGUCAUCCAGUUCUGCUUUAGAUUCACCUUCUGUUAUGAGUAAACUUGCAUCACCACCACAUGCUAUUAAUUCUGAUAUGUCGCAAGUUAUUGAUGAUGCUACUUCUGCUAUGUAUAAUGCUUACGAUGAUGCUAGUACAUUGCUUGAUAAUGAUGAUGUGCCACUGGGUGAUUUUCUUGAUGCACAAAUUGCUAGAGUAAUACAACAUGAUGUCUUUGAAUCUGAUGAUGAGCUUGAAACCGAAACUCCUGAAACACCUGCUAGAACUAGCCUUCCUAGAUAUGAAUUGCCUAAGGUACCGGAAGGUUAUGUUAUGAAUGAGGAGACAACUAGAGAUAUUCUUGCUUGUAAGGAUAGAGAUGAUCUAGAGAAAUUAUUAUGCAAGUAUAAAGAAAAAUCUCUGAAUGCUAGAAUGAAAUGUGAUCCUAAGUUUUCUAGUUCACCUAUAUUUAUUGAUGAUAAGGAUUAUGAAUUCUGUGUCGACCCAGAGUUAAUUAGUUUGGUUGAAUCUGAUCCUUUCCAUGGUUAUGAAACUGAAACCGUUGUGGCACAUCUUACUAAGUUGAAUGACAUAGCCACCCUUUUUACUCAUGAUGAGAAGACUUGCUAUUACUUUAUUCUCAAAUUAUUUCCGUUCUUAUUAAAGGGUGAUGCUAAAUCUUGGUACAAUACUCUUGCUCCUGGUUGUGUGCGUAGUCCCCAGGAUAUGAUCUAUUACUUCUCUGAAAAAUAUUUACCUGCUCAUAAGAAAGAAGCUGCCUUACAGGAAAUAUUUAACUUUGUGCAGACUAAAGAAGAGAGUCUCCCACAAGCUUGGGGGAGGCUUUGCCAGUUACUUAAUGCUUUGUCUGAUCAUCCUCUUAAGAAAAAUGAAAUACUUGAUAUCUUCUAUAAUGGACUAACCGAUGUUUCUAGGGACUUCCUAGAUAGUUGUGCUGGUUGUGUUUUCAGGGAACAAACUGUGGGACAAGCUGAAGAAUUAUUGAAUAACAUAUUGAAAAAUUAUGAUGAUUGGAAUCUUCCUGAACCACCGCCUAAACCCAUUCCGAAGAAGAGGGGUAUAUUAUACCUCAGUCCUGAAGAUAUCCAAGAGGCAAAGAAAUCUAUGAAGGAAAAACGUAUUAAAGCUAAAGAUGUCAAGAAUUUACCUCCUAUUGAAGAAAUACAUGGGCUUAAUACACCACCACUGCCUAAGGUGGUAGAGGUAAAUUCUCUAAUGAAAUUCAGUGAUAAUGACAAUCCUCACAAUAUGCAUCCUAGUCAAUGCCUUCAUGAGUUUGAAAACUACAUUAGAAAACAAGAUCACUUCAAUGCAAAUGUUAUGAAACAAUUGAAAUAUAAUUCUGAUAUGAUUGCUCGCUUGAGUGACUUAUUAUUUAGAAUCUCGAAUGAUGUUAGAGGUGUUGGAAAACAUGCUUCUAUGGUUCAAACUCAGUUAGAACAAGUUGCUAAAUCUCAAAGAGAAUUACUAGAUGAAAUGAAUAAUAAUAUACAUGACUUUGCUGUUAGAGUUGCAACUAGAGGAGGUAAAAUGACUCAGGAACCACUUUAUCCUGAGGGACACUGAAAGAACAUGCAGUGCCCCCAUGAUUGGUUUUGGUAAUUAAUGACAAUCUCUAUGGACUAAUGGUUGCUUUGAGAUAUAUUUGAAGGAUAUGUCCAUAUGCUUUUCCUGGAGUCCAUUUGUUGGUUUCAAGGAGAGUUUGUGAUGACCAAGGUGCUAUUCAAGGAAUUACCUUAAGAUUGGUCAUGUGAGAGGUUGAUCAAGACUAAGUCAAAGAGUAAAUCAAAGUGAUCAACACACAAAGCGUACAAGAUGUACCAAGGGAUCAAGUGAUGCCAUGGCAUGGUAAGCAUUGUCCAUUACACUUUGUAUGCUAACCCAUGGUAUUCGUGAGAGUUCUUUGUGGGGUUAGGUUGCGGUGUGCAAGUUCAAGUGGAGCAUCAUGAAGAGAUCAAAUGCUUGAAGCUUGCCGUCCAUUGUGGUAACAAUGGAUUUGUGAAGAUGUGUGGAAGAGUGGCUCACCCAUAGUGGAGUAUGUGGGAGCAAUCAACUAGUCUUCUUUGAGCCAACACAAUCAAGAAAGGUGGUCCAACUUGAGGGAGUAAAGAUCGUCAUCAUCUAGCUCAAGUGGACCAUGUGCAAGGCAAAGGUUUGCCCUUGAUAGGUUUUCUAUUUUACUAGUCUCAUGGUGGUUGUUGGGAGACCGGGUUAUAGGAUCGAUUGCCGUACUAUCAAGGGGGGGGGGGGCUCUCGAUGAGUAGCUUGAUCGUAUUGUUCGUAGAGAGCUCAAACCAUUGCAUCCUUGCAUCAUAUUUCUUGGUUCUUGUUUGGUUCUCUUUGUGAGAUUUGAAGCUUAUGGUCAUCUUGAUGACAAGCUCGAGUUCAUCGAAAACGGAGUUCACAUGCAUCUUCUAUGAUGUUUUCGAUGUUGGAGGUUCUGCCGGUUCUUCUCUGUUGGAGGUUUCUCUCCUCCUUUUGUUAGGCAUACCUCUCCUCACAUGCAUCUUUGCUGUUUUGAUGCUACUCGUCGUCUUGUAUCCAACAAGCUUGAGUUUGCUCAAUUCGGAGCUCAUUUGCAGAAGUUAUGGCAGUUUUGGUUUUAUUGGAUCCGUCUGUUGUCUUUAGCUGCGUUUUGAAGGCAUCCAAGUGCUAAAGCCUCUGUGGCGUGCGGUAGUAUUGCUCAAGGGAGCGGUAGUGCCGCAGGGGCCAGCUGUAGUACCGCUCCUGGUGAGCGGUAGUACCGCUGCCUCUAGCCCAGAACGCUGGCGUGCACAGAAGUAGGCACGGAAGUAAUUUUUUACUUCCGCGCCCUACGCGGUAGUACCACUCCUGGUGAGCGGUAGUACCGUUGCCUCGUGUCCUGGCACUAUUGCAUGCGGUAGUAGGCGCAGAUGUAAUUUUUACAUCCGCCCUUACGCGGUAGUACCGCUCCCUGUGAAUGGUAGUACCGUGCCGACUUUUUCUCGUAGCUAGCUCCAGCGGUUGUAGGCGCGGCAGUUAUUUUUUACAUCCGUGGUCGCGCGGUAGUACCGCAAGGGCAGGCGGUAGUACCGCUCCUGCAGUAGUACUGCCCUGUUGCCCCUUUGCAGUGUUUUUUCAUUGGGGUUCUGCCGCCCUAGCGGUAGUACUGCUCGUAGGAGCGGUAGUACCGCUCUGUGCGGGCUGUGAGCAUAACGGUUGGAUUUUCCCCCUCCUAUAAAAGGGGGUCUUCUUCCCCAAUGAACCGAAUCCUUUGAGCUCGUGUUCUUCCCCCAUUGUUGACCUUCUUUGAGCUUGCUAACUCUCAAUCCCUCCAUGGAUUCUUGCUAGUUUUUGAGGGGAAAGGUAGAGGAGAUCAAGAUCCACAUUUCCACCAAUCACUUCCUCCUCUAUGUGAGGGGAACCCCUUGGGUCUAGAUCUUGGAGUUCUUGGUGUUCUCCUUCUUGUUCUUCCUCCCAUUUUCCUCCCUAGCAUUAGUUGCUUCGGUGGGAUUUGAGAGAGAAGGACUUGGGCACUCCGUGUGCCCUUGCCAUUGCAUUUGGUGCAUCGGUUUGAGUUCUCCAUGGUGAUACGUGGAAGUUACAAGUUGAGAAGCUUAUUACUCUUGGGUGCUUGGUACCCUUGAGCUUGUUCCUCUUAGGUGCUUGGGUGCCCUAGACGGUUGGUGGUGUUCAGAGCUCAAUCAUUGUGGUGUAAAGCUCCGGGCAAGCGUCGGGGUCUCCAAUUAGGUUGUGGAGAUCGCCCCGAGCAAUUUGACGGGUACCGGUGACCGCCCCCAAGGGUUGCCAAAGUGUACGGGUUCGGUGACCGCCCCCAAGGGUUGCCAUUUGUACGGGUUCGGUGACCGCCCUCAAGGGUCCCUUAGUGGAAUCAUGGCAUCUUGCAUUGUGCGAGGGCGUGAGGAGAUUACGGUGGCCCUAGUGGCUUCUUGGGGAGGAUUGUGCCUCCACACCGCUCCAAACGGAGAUUAGCAUCCGCAAGGGUGUGAACUUAGGGAUACAUCGUCAUCUCCGCGUGCCUCGGUUAUCUCUUACCCGAGCCCUUUACUUAUGCACUUUACUUUGUGAUAGCCAUAUUGUUUCUUGUCAUAUAUCUUGCUAUCACCUAGUAGUUUAUCUUGCUUAGCGUAAGUUUUUGGUGCACAUAGGUGAGCCUAGUUGUUGUAGGUUUUGUGCUUGACAAAUUAACCGCUAGGUUUAUUCCGCAUUUGUUCAAGCCAAAACCGUAAUUAUUUUAAAGCGCCUAUUCACCCCCCUCUAGGCGACAUCCACGAUCUUUCAGACACCCAAAAAGAAUAGAACAAGAUUCACAAAGAGUUACCACUGAUGCACCUAGUCCUUCUAGAAAGAAAAAUAAGAAGAAAAAUGAUAGGACUCUGCACACUUCUAGUACACCUGAAAUAGAAAAACCUCCUGAUAAUGAUAAUGAAACUUUUAUCUCUGAUGCUGAAACUCAGUCUGGUAAUGAACACUCACCAAGUGAUAAUGAAAAAGAUAAUGAUGAGGUUCAUGAAGACUCUCAACCAAAUAAUAAAGAAUCAGAUAAUGACGUUGAGAUAGAACCACGUGUUGAUCUUGAUAACCCACAACCUAAGAAUAAAAGAUAUGAUAAAAGAGUGUAGGAUCGAAAGUAUGUCUAGGGGGGGGGGGUGAUUAGACUACUUGACCAACCUACACAUGCAAUUCUAAGAGUAUAGCAGCGGAAUGUAAAACAAUUGCAUAUGAAGGUAAAGGGAGGAGUUUGAGGGAGCAAACGCAAUGUUGACACGGAGAUUUUUUAUCCGCGGUUCCGAUAGGUGGUGCUAUCGUACAUCCACGUUGAUGGAGACUUCAACCCACGAAGGGUAACGGUUGCGCGAGUCCACGGAGGGCUCCACCACGAAGGGUCCACGAAGAAGCGACCUUGUCUAUCCCACCAUGGCCGUCGCCCAUGAAGGACUUGCCUCACUAGGGUAGAUCUUCAUGAAGUAGGCGAGCUCCUUGCCCUUACAAACUCCUUGGUUCAACUCCACAAUCUUGUCGGAGGCUCCCAAGUGACACCUAGCCAAUCUAGGAGACACCACUCUCCAAGAAGUAACAAAUGGUGUGUUGAUGAUGAACUCCGUGCUCUUGUGCUUCAAAUGAUAGUAUCCCCAACACUCAACUCUCUCUCAUAGGAUUGGAUUUGGUGGAAAGAAGAUUUGAGUGGAAAGCAACUUGGGGAAGGCUAGAGAUCAAGAUUUAUGUGGUUGGAAUGGAGUAUCUUGACCUCAACACAAGUGUAGGUGGUUCUCUCUCAGAAAAUAGGUAUUGGAAGUGUAGGCAUGUUCUGAUGGCUCUCUCCACGAAUGAAGAGUGGGUGGAGGGGUAUAUAUAGCCUCCACACAAAAUCUAACCGUUACACACAAAUCACCAAACUCGGUGGGACCGAUUCAGAGAACUCGGUCAGACCGAUUUGGUUCAUAAUGUGACCGUUAGGUGUUUCGGUGGGACCGACAUGUCAACUCGGUGGGACCGAUAUCAUUAGGGUUAGGGCAUAACGUAAUCUCGGUGAGACCGAUUACACAAACUCGGUAGGACCGAUUUUGGUAAUAGUCAAACAGAGAGUUGGUCAGGCAGACUCGGUGGGACCGCUUCGCUCAUCUCGGUUGGACCGAAACGUUACGAAAGAGAAACAGAGAGUUUGCAUUGCAAUCUCGGUGUGACCGAUCGCUCAUCUCGGUUGAACCGAAACGUUACUAAGGGAAACAGAGAGAUUACAAUCCCAUCUCGGUGAGACCGAGAUCCUUAUCGGUGAGACCGAAAAGACUAGGGUUUCUGGCAGUGGCUAUGUCAACUGAACUCGGUGGCUCCGGAUAGAAAGAAUCGGUUGGGCCGAGUUGGACUUUUGGUUUGGGACAUAUAUGGAUAUGAGAAAGUAGUGGAGGGUUUUGGAGCAUAUCACUAAGCAUUUUGAGCAAGCACCUCAUUAAGCAACACCUCAUCCCUUCUUAAUAGUAUUGGCUUUUCCUAUAGACUCAAUGUGAUCUUGGAUCACUAAAAUAGAAAAUGUAGAGUCUUGUGCUUUGAGCUUGAGCCAAUCUUUUGUCCUUGGCAUUUUGAAGGGUCCACUUCCUAAUCCAUGCCAUGCCAAUGAUUGAGCUUUCCUGAAAUAUUUAUCUUGAAAUAGCAUUAGCUCAAUGAGCUAUAUGUUGUUAGGAAUUACCAAAACCACCCAGGGAUAGUUGCACUUUCAAUCUCCCCCUUUUUGGUAAUUGAUGACAACAUAUAGAUCAAAGCUUCGACAAAUGAUAAAAUUGAAAAACAUCGUCGCUUUGAGAAGUAUGUGAUAAGCAAGAGCUCCCCCUAAAUUUGUGCAUUAUUUCAAAUUUGCUUUUGAAUGCAAAUGCACAAUCGAUUAGGAUCACGGGUUACUCUUCCAUGUCACAUACAUCUUGGUGGAGCGCUCAAAAUGAUAGAAGUUAAAAACACAUGCACUCAUCACCAAGCAAAGUGAAUGAUCAUAAGAGGAUAUAAAGAUAAUAUCAUCCAACAAGCAUUAAGGGUAGCAUAUGAUCAAACACAUGAUCAACAAUUAUCUCACAAGGACAUAAAGUAGCAUCACAAGCACACAAUAAAGUUUCAAACCAAACCAAAUAAGUGCAAAGAGAGAUAAAAACCAACACUCUCUCUCUCGAAGCCUAUGAUCUAUACAUUUUUUCUCCCCCUUUGGCAACAAGUUACCAAAAAGUUCGAAAAUGCAUAGUGCUAAAUGACUCUCAGGCUUGAUCUUCGGUAGGAGGUGUUGAGAGAACUCCAAGAACGAAGGCUUCUGAUGAAGUAGCUGGAGCUGGUGGAGUAGCUGCUGGAGGUGGAACUGGAGCUAUAGUUGCUGGUGCUGAUGCUGUGGCUCUAGUGUCUUUCACUGGCACUGUAGCAGAUCUCUAUCCUCUGGGCACUCUAGCAAAAGCAUCUGUGGUAGACUUGCCCUUUUCUCCUCUGCUUCCUCCUGAAGUUGCUCAACUGCAGUUUGGAUUUCUGUUACCUUGACAUCAAGGUCAUAGGAUUUUGUCUCAAUAAUCCUUUCCAAGCUCUCCUGGUUCUUGGUUAGGGUGGCCAAGCCCUUCUCAAUCCUCAGGGUGGAUUGGAUCAGAUAUCCAAGCUGGUCUUGCUUGCUCUUCAAGAAUACCUGAGAUGCCUCUUCCACGGUUGGUAUCUUUGCAGCCUUCUCUGCCUUAGCUUUUUUUUAUGUGCUUGAGCUGAAGAUGGUUCAUUCUCAUUCAUCACUACUGUGUUAUCUUCAAAUUCAGGAUAGAUGGGCAGGUGCUCCUUAUCCAAGAUGUACUUGCCUUUGGCCAUCUUUGAGUUGAUGAGCUCCUGAAUGUGUGGGGCAUACCCACAACUUCUCUUCUGAUCAGCUGCAGUCCUCUUGAUUGUUUCAACAAUCAGGCUCAUGACUUUGAACUUCUGUGGGACAUCAAAUAUGUGCAGCAAGUUGAUGGCAUGUCCUAUGAUCAUUUUGUGAUCACCUGACUUGGGUAGCAGUGCGUGCCUUAAGAUCCAGUUGAUUGUUGGCAGUCCAGACAAUAAGUAAUGGACAGAUCCAAACUUAUGUGUAUCCAAUGCAGCAUCUGGGAUCUCUUUGUACAUGUUGGCCAUACUGUUGUGGCCUUUCUUCUUCUCUGCAUAAAUGUCCAAGUCAUCCUCAUGUUCCUCAGGAGCAUUUAUAAGCUUGGCCCAUUCCUCAACUGUAGAUUGGGCAGACUCGGUGGGACCGCUUCGCUCAUCUCGGUUGGACCGAAACGUUACGAAAGAGAAACAGAGAGUUUGCAUUGCAAUCUCGGUGGGACCGAUCGCUCAUCUCGGUUGAACCGAAACGUUACUAAGGGAAACAGAGAGAUUACAAUCCCAUCUCGGUGAGACCGAGAUCCUUAUCAGUGAGACCGAAAAGACUAGGGUUUCUGGCAGUGGCUAUGUCAACUGAACUCGGUGGCUCCGGAUAGAAAGAAUCGGUGAGGCCGAGUUGGACUUUUGGUUUGGGACAUAUAUGGAUAUGAGAAAGUAGUGGAGGGUUUUGGAGCAUAUCACUAAGCAUUUUGAGCAAGCACCUCAUUAAGCAACACCUCAUCCCUUCUUAAUAGUAUUGGCUUCUCCUAUAGACUCAAUGUGAUCUUGGAUCACUAAAAUAGAAAAUGUAGAGUCUUGUGCUUUGAGCUUGAGCCAAUCUUUUGUCCUUGGCAUUUUGAAGGGUCCACUUCCUAAUCCAUGCCAUGCCAAUGAUUGAGCUUUCCUGAAAUAUUUAUCUUGAAAUAGCAUUAGCUCAAUGAGCUAUAUGUUGUUAGGAAUUACCAAAACCACCCAGGGAUAGUUGAACUUUCAAUCUCCCCCUUUUUGGUAAUUGAUGACAACAUAUAGAUCAAAGCUUCGACAAAUGAUAAAAUUGAAAAACAUCGUCGCUUUGAGAAGUAUGUGAUAAGCAAGAGCUCCCCCUAAAUUUGUGCAUUAUUUCAAAUUUGCUUUUGAAUGCAAAUGCACAAUCGAUUAGGAUCACGGGUUACUCUUCCAUGUCACAUACAUCUUGGUGGAGCGCUCAAAAUGAUAGAAGUUAAAAACACAUGCACUCAUCACCAAGCAAAGUGAAUGAUCAUAAGAGGAUAUAAAGAUAAUAUCAUCCAACAAGCAUUAAGGGUAGCAUAUGAUCAAACACAUGAUCAACAAUUAUCUCACAAGGACAUAAAGUAGCAUCACAAGCACACAAUAAAGUUUCAAACCAAACCAAAUAAGUGCAAAGAGAGAUAAAAACCAACACUCUCUCUCUCUCGAAGCCUAUGAUCUAUACAUUUUUUCUCCCCCUUUGGCAACAAGUUACCAAAAAGUUCGAAAAUGCAUAGUGCUAAAUGACUCUCAGGCUUGAUCUUCGGUAGGAGGUGUUGAGAGAACUCCAAGAACGAAGGCUUCUGAUGAAGUAGCUGGAGCUGGUGGAGUAGCUGCUGGAGGUGGAACUGGAGCUGUAGUUGCUGGUGCUGAUGCUGUGGCUCUAGUGUCUUUCACUGGCACUGUAGCAGAUCUCUGUCCUCUGGGCACUCUGGCAAAAGCAUCUGUGGUAGACUUGCCCUUUUCUCCUCUGCUUCCUCCUGAAGUUGCUCAACUGUAGUUUGGAUUUCUGUUACCUUGACAUCAAGGUCAUAGGAUUUUGUCUCAAUAAUCCUUUCCAAGCUCUCCUGGUUCUUGGUUAGGGUGGCCAAGCCCUUCUCAAUCCUCAGGGUGGAUUGGAUCAGAUAUCCAAGCUGGUCUUGCUUGCUCUUCAAGAAUACCUGAGAUGCCUCUUCCACGGUUGGUAUCUUUGUAGCCUUCUCUGCCUUAGCUUUUUUUUUAUGUGCUUGAGCUGAAGAUGGUUCAUUCUCAUUCAUCACUACUGUGUUAUCUUCAAAUUCAGGAUAGAUGGGCAGGUGCUCCUUAUCCAAGAUGUACUUGCCUUUGGCCAUCUUUGAGUUGAUGAGCUCCUGAAUGUGUGGGGCAUACCCACAACUUCUCUUCUGAUCAGCUGCAGUCCUCUUGAUUGUUUCAACAAUCAGGCUCAUGACUUUGAACUUCUGUGGGACAUCAAAUAUGUGCAGCAAGUUGAUGGCAUGUCCUCUGAUCAUUUUGUGAUCACCUGACUUGGGUAGCAGUGCGUGCCUUAAGAUCCAGUUGAUUGUUGGCAGUCCAGACAAUAAGUAAUGGACAGAUCCAAACUUAUGUGUAUCCAAUGCAGCAUCUGGGAUCUCUUUGUACAUGUUGGCCAUACUGUUGUGGCCUUUCUUCUUCUCUGCAUAAAUGUCCAAGUCAUCCUCAUGUUCCUCAGGAGCAUUUAUAAGCUUGGCCCAUUCCUCAACUGUAGAUUGGUACCUAGUACCCUCAGACAUCCAUACAAUCCUUCCAUCUAGAUAGAAGUGUGCAGUGGAGUAGAAUUGCAUGAUGAGCUCAUCAUUCCACUUGGUGAGCUUCUGGGCAACAAAAGUGUCCACUCCACAUACCUUGAAGCUAUCAAGCACACCAGGGAAGUGAUCUUCAUUCUCCUUGAUGAACUCCCAGUCAACCCAUCUCAUGUCACACACAAUGGGCUUCUUGUCAAGCAGAAUAGUCUCAUAGAAGUCCUGCUGUUCCUUAGUGUGGAAUCUGUAGUCCACAGCAGUCCUUCUCCUGAUAGCAUAGGGAUCAGACUCUCUCCACUGUCUCAAUCCUGCAUCCUUCCUGAUUUUCAUAUUCUCUGCAACUGGGUGUGCAUCAGUGUGGUCAGGGAUCUUGGGCUUUAGCUUCCUCAACACAACAGAAUCAUCAUCUUCUUCUUCAGCAGCUUGAGGCACUGGGCCUUGUUCUUCUCUUCAGCAGGUAUGUUCCUAGUGCUUCUCUUGGGUUUUGGCUUUGGAGCUGGAGCAACAGCCUUGGGAGCAGCUUUGGGCUUUGAUGGAGCAGCCCCUGACUUAAUUGCAUCUCCCAUAAGCUUUUGUGCUUUGGGUGCUGGUGCAGCAUCCUCUUCCUCUUCCUCUUCUUCUGAAUCUCUCAUCAUUGAUGGCUUCCCAAUAACUCUAGCAAUGGUUUUCUUGACCCUUUCUUUUCUCUUCUUGCCAUCUCCAGUUUCCUUGGGUUCAAGAGUGAACUCCAUUGUUUCUUGAGUGGAGGCUCUGGCUUUUGACAUUGGAACUCUUCUUGCCGGAGCCUUUGUUUUCAGUCCAGGCUUUGUUGCAGCAGCUGUGCCAUACUCCUUUUUCAGCACCUUUUUCUUUGAAGUGGCUUCAUCCUCAACAUCCACAUAAUCUUCAUCCUCAGAAUCAGAAUUCCUCUUCUUCCUUGUCCUGGUGGCAGCCUUUGGCAGAUUGCUUGGAGUGCUCCUGCUGCCUUCAUCAUAGCUGCCUGAGGGACUAGUGCCCUCACUCAACUGAACCUGCUCUUUUGACUUGUUCUGGCUGUCACUUUGGUCAGACAUCUCUGCAAAUACUCUGACAGCAUACCCUGUGAAUAGGUUAUAGAUGAGGUAGAGUAGAUGAGCAUCACAAAGUACAGGAGUUUUGCAAAAAAGGUGACUUAAAAACUUAGUUUUAGUUCUUCACAGAAAGCAUUUUGGAUCUACCGAUUUGUAAACUCGGUGAUACCGAAGCAUCUUUUGGAACCUAAACUCGUGAACUCGGUCAGACCGAGUCACAGUUUGGUGGUACCGAGACUGCUAGGGUUUCACAAAGAAUCGAACUCGGUCACACCGUUUGCAGUUUUCGGUCAGACCGAAAAUGCGUGUGCUUUGGCCUAAGCCAAAAUCGGUGAGACCGAUUUCUAUAACUCGGUCGGUCCGAGAUGAAUUCGACGGAGACCUAACCCUAAAUUUUCAAAUCAAAACUAAUCUACGGGAUGUUUUCGCUGGACAGGAUGAUUUCAAUCGUGGCAAAGAUCAUGGCAAAGCAAUGUGCUAAGAAUCGGAGUUAGGGAUUAGCACAAAGGUCAAGUUCGUACCCUAGUUCGGCGACGAACUUGCUACGGCGGCAACGGCAAGGAAGAUUUCCGUUGACAGCGGCGGAGACCAGCGGCGGGAGGUCGCUGGUGACGAGAGGACGAUCCGGAGACCGAAGAGGCAGAGUAGGUUACGCGCGGGCGAGGAGGUUCAGAAAAUUUUCCAAAAUUUGGCCCGUCGGUAUAUAUAACCUGACCCUGUCGGUGUGACCGAGUGGAACGACUCGGUGGCACCGAGAUGCAAAACUGCAAGCAGUUACUGCAACUCAGUGUGACCGAAAAGUUCUAAUCGGUUGCAGCUAGAUUGAAAACCCUAGAUCAACUUAGUGAUCUCGGUAGGACCGAAAAGGAUGAAUCGGUCAGACCGAGAUGCACAAAGAGGUUUUGGAGGUUUAAGUCUAUAACGAAUCGGGAACUCCGAGUGCUCCUCACACAGAGUGGUUCGAAUCUGACUUGAUCAAACUUUGUGAUGUAGCAUGAAUAGCGUUUGAGACGAGAAGAGCAUAGAUAGCUAGAGGGAGUUCUUAGGCAUUCUUGUCCAUCCAUUUGGCAAAAGAGAAAGAGCCAAACAAUCAAAACAACAAAUGGAUGUCCUCGAAUGAGUGAAAUAUGAAACCAACGUGCUCACACAAUAAAAUGGCUAAUGAAAUAUGUGACAAAGCAUGCACAAACACUCUAGCAUCUAUCAAGCAAUUUGGCGAUGACUAGGUCAUCUAUAUAUGAGUAUAUUGACAUAGGAGUCAAAUGAGAACAUUUGAUCAUAGGUCAUACUCAUCGUUUAAGCUCAAGUGGGGUUACCACUUUUACAUAACGCAUUGAUGUGUUCACACCAUUAGAGUUGCUUUGACUCAAUUGAUUAGAGUAAAGCUCCCCCUAGAUGUGAUAUCCCCCCUUAGAGGGAUGAACUAACCUUGGGUUUUGUCGAUGAUGACUUCAUGUAGGUGUUGAAGAUGUAGAUGCUCAAUGUUUUUGUAGAUCAUUUGGAGCAAUCCUUUGGAGUGAGUUGCACUUUCAAUACCUACAUGGGUUAGUUCCACAAGGAACAAACAAGGAUAUCCAUAGACAUAGAGUGAUGCAUACACAAGAUGAUGUCCAUGAAAGCAUUAGGUUACCUUGUCCCUUGUCUUACCAACAAGAGGGUUUGUGACUCCUUGGACUAGUGCAAGAUAUGGAAGUUGUUUGCACUUGUUCUUGCCAAAAUGAUAAGAGUGAAGUAUGUUGGCGGAGUCACCCUCAAGAACUCUCUAUUUCUUCUUCUUCUGGAUCCACACCAUCUUGAUGGGAAUCCUUGGAGUUGUAGUUGUACUUGAUGAAGUAGAACUGGAUGUAGUCUUGGGAACCCACUUGACCAAGGCCUUAGGUGCUUCUUCAAAUGCAUCAAUUUCCUCUUGAAGCUUGUCCUUGCCUCUUUGCUUGUGGUCUUGUGGUGGAAGAUCAUCUUGAGCUUGUGUCCCUUUGAAAGAAGUAGGAUCAUACUUCUCUUGUUGAGGAACAAACUUCGUCUUGGGGUAUUGAUCUUCUUCCCACUCAACUCCAUUGGCAUUGAACUUUCGUUCAAAACCAACACCUUGAUUCUUCCAGUGUCUUCCUUGCUUGCGCACAAUUUUCUCAAAUUGCUUACUUCCGGCAAGGCUCUUGUAAACACCUUUCUCUAUAAUUACCUUCAAUAAGCUAUUUUCUUGCUCAAGUGUAACUUGGCUAAGAGAAUCAUUAGUGGAAUCAAGAGAAUUACUAGAAGCAACAAUAUUGGAUUUAGCAUGAUUGUUGUUACUACUAGAUGAAGCAUCUUUCUUGUUAUUGUUGCUAGAUUUAACUUGUGGCAUGUAAGUAGACAAGAGUAAACGCUUGGCAAUGUAAGAAGAACUUUUCUUGCGAAGAUCAUCAUUGAUUGCCUUUAAAAACUCAUGCUCUUGCUCAAGGUUGAGCUUUUCAAAGCGUAGCUUAUCAUGAGUCUUUAAAAUUUCUUGAUGAUUUUCCAAGGUAGUUUCAUGAGCUAACUUAAGAGUGUUUAGUUCUUUAGUUAGACGCUCAAUCUCCUUCUUAUCAUCAUCAUUCGUUUUAUCUUGAUUAGCAUGAUUCAUUGACGUUUCAUCAUAGUCUUCAUCACUAGAGUUGUCAACAAGUAAAUCAUCAUCACCUAGCAAAUCAUCUUCAUCACUAUUGAAAUCAACAUACUCGGGAUGUGUUACCUUUGGACCUUUGUCCAUGAAGCAUCUUCCAAUUCCUUCAUUUGGUGAGUCAAAUAUGUCAUAGGAGUUGGUUGACACAAGUGCUAGACCGGCAACACCUUCAUCUUGAGUAUAUUCGGAGUCGGAGUGAUAACUUCUUUCGGAGUGAUUGUCGGAGUUGGAGCCGGAUACCCAUUCACCAACAUGAGCUUGAUGUCUUCUUUUUGUGUAGCUCCUUGAUGACUUUUCUUUCCUUUCCGAGUCCUUGCUUCUCCAAGAGGGUCUUCGUUCAUAACGAUCAUCUCUACUCCUCCUUUCUCUUGGUGGCGAUUCUUCUCUUCUACUUCUUCUUUUGGGAGAAUCUUCUCUUCUUUUGUAGGGUGCCGUACACUCAUUUGAGUAGUGUCCGGGCCUUCCACAAUUGUAGCAAUUACGCUCACGACUAGAAGAUCUUUUGUCAUUGUAGGACCUUGACUUGGAACUUCUUUCUUUGCUUCUACUCUUGUAGAACUUGUUGAAGUUCUUCACCAUUAGGCUCAAUUCUUCAUUGAAGGUUUGUUUCUCACUUGAUGAUGUGGGAGUAUCACACGAGGCUUUGUAAGCACCACUAGACUUGUUGUGAAGCUCUUCCUUAUCCUUGAGUGACAUCUCAUGGGCAACAAUUCUUCCAAUGACUUCCGUUGGCUUGAGAUCUUUGUAAUUGGGCAUCAUUUGGAUCAAUGUGCACACCGUAUCAUAUUAUCCAUCCAAGGCUCUUAGGAUCUUCUUGAUGAUGAAUUUUUCGGUCAUCUCUUCACUUCCUAAGCCGGCAAUCUCAUUUGUGAUGAGAGCAAGCCUAGAGUACAUUUCGGCGACACCUUCACCAUCCUUCAUUUUGAACUUGUCAAGUUGACUUUGAAGCACAUCCAAUUUCGAUUCCUUAACGGAGUCGGUACCUUCGUGAAUAUCAAUCAAAGUAUCCCAAAUUUCCUUUGCAUUCUCAAGACGGCUGAUUUUGUUGAAUUUUUCUGGGCACAAUCCAUUGAAGAGAAUAUCACAAGCUUGAGCAUUGUAUUGUAGCAUAUUCAAUUCUUCCGCGGUAGCUUCACGGUUAGGUUCUUUCCCAUCGAAGAAUUCACCUUGCAAGCCAAUACACACAAUAGCCCAAACGGCGGGGUUAUGUCCAAGAAUAUGCAUUUUAAUCUUAUGCUUCCAACUAGCAAAAUUUGUACCAUCAAAGUAAGGACCUCUACGGUGGUAAUUUCCCUCGCUAGACGCCAUACUCUCCAAGGUUGUGAAACCAAGGGUAUGACCACAAAAAGCUAUGGAAAUCAAAGCAAAUGGAGACCAAAGCUCUGAUACCAUUUGUAGGAUNNNNNNNNNNNNNNNNNNNNNNNNNNNNNNNNNNNNNNNNNNNNNNNNNNNNNNNNNNNNNNNNNNNNNNNNNNNNNNNNNNNNNNNNNNNNNNNNNNNNNNNNNNNNNNNNNNNNNNNNNNNNNNNNNNNNNNNNNNNNNNNNNNNNNNNNNNNNNNNNNNNNNNNNNGGGUGAUUAGACUACUUGACCAAAUAAAAAUCUAGCAUUUUCCCAAUUUUAGUUCUUGGCAGAUUUUAGCAAUUUAGAACAAGUCAAGCAAUCAACCUACACAUGCAAUUCUAAGAGUAUAGCAGCGGAAUGUAAAACAAUUGCAUAUGAAGGUAAAGGGAGGAGUUUGAGGGAGCAAACGCAAUGUUGACACGGAGAUUUUUUAUCCGCGGUUCCGAUAGGUGGUGCUAUCGUACAUCCACGUUGAUGGAGACUUCAACCCACGAAGGGUAACAGUUGCGCGAGUCCACGGAGGGCUCCACCCACGAAGGGUCCACGAAGAAGCAACCUUGUCUAUCCCACCAUGGCCGUCGCCCAUGAAGGACUUGCCUCACUAGGGUAGAUCUUCACGAAGUAGGCGAUCUCCUUGCCCUUACAAACUCCUUGGUUCAACUCCACAAUCUUGUCGGAGGCUCCCAAGUGACACCUAGCCAAUCUAGGAGACUCCACUCUCCAAGAAGUAACAAAUGGUGUGUUGAUGAUGAACUCCGUGCUCUUGUGCUUCAAAUGAUAGUCUCCCCAACACUCAACUCUCUCUCAUAGGAUUGGAUUUGGUGGAAAGAAGAUUUGAGUGGAAAGCAACUUGGGGAAGGCUAGAGAUCAAGAUUUAUGUGGUUGGAAUGGAGUAUCUUGACCUCAACACAAGUGUAGGUGGUUCUCUCUCAGAAAAUAGGUAUUGGAAGUGUAGGCAUGUUCUGAUGGCUCUCUCCAUGAAUGAAGAGUGGGUGGAGGGGUAUAUAUAGCCUCCACACAAAAUCUAACCGUUACACACAAAUCACCAAACUCGGUGGGACCGAUUCAGAAAACUCGGUCAGACCGAUUUGGUUCAUAAUGUGACCGUUAGGUGUUUCGGUGGGACCGACAUGUCAACUCGGUGGGACCGAUAUCAUUAGGGUUAGGGCAUAACGUAAUCUCGGUGAGACCGAUUACACAAACUCGGUAGGACCGAUUUUGGUAAUAGUCAAAUAGAGAGUUGGUCAGGCAGACUCGGUGGGACCGCUUCGCUCAUCUCAGUUGGACCGAAACGUUACGAAAGAGAAACAGAGAGUUUGCAUUGCAAUCUCGGUGGGACCGAUCGCUUAUCUCGGUUGAACCGAAACGUUACGAAGGGAAACAGAGAGAUUACAAUCCCAUCUCGGUGAGACCGAGAUCCUUAUCGGUGAGACCGAAAAGACUAGGGUUUCUGGCAGUGGCUAUGUCAACUGAACUCGGUGGCUCCGGAUAGAAAGAAUCGGUGGGGCCGAGUUGGACUUUUGGUUUGGGACAUAUAUGGAUAUGAGAAAGUAGUGGAGGGUUUUGGAGCAUAUCACUAAGCAUUUUGAGCAAGCACCUCAUUAAGCAACACCUCAUCCCUUCUUAAUAGUAUUGGCUUUUCCUAUAGACUCAAUGUGAUCUUGGAUCACUAAAAUAGAAAAUGUAGAGUCUUGUGCUUUGAGCUUGAGCCAAUCUUUUGUCCUUGGCAUUUUGAAGGGUCCACUUCCUAAUCCAUGCCAUGCCAAUGAUUGAGCUUUCCUGAAAUAUUUAUCUUGAAAUAGCAUUAGCUCAAUGAGCUAUAUGUUGUUAGGAAUUACCAAAACCACCCAGGGAUAGUUGCACUUUCAAAGAGACUUCAUUGCUAGAAAACACGAUAAAGAAAGAGAACCGUGGGUUCAAAAACCUAUGCCCUUUCCACCCAAGUCAACUGAAAAGAAAGAUGAUGAAGAAUUUGAACGCUUUGCUGAAAUGCUGAGGCCAGUCUUUUUUCGUACUCGCUUGACUGAUAUCUUGAAAAUGCCUCCUUAUGCAAAGUAUAUGAAAGACAUCAUCACAAAUAAGAGAAAAAUACCGGAAGCUUAAAUCUCCACUAUGCUUUCUAAUUAUACUUUCAAAGAUGGAGUACCUAAAAAACUUGGAGAUCCGGGAAUACCAACUAUACUUUGCUCUAUCAAAAAGAAUUAUGUCAAAACUGCUUUGUGUGAUUUAGGAGGAGGUGUUAGUGUUAUGCCUUUCUCUUUAUGUAAAAGACUUUAUUUGAAUAAACUCUCACCUACUGAAAUAUCUUUGCAAAUGGCUGACAAAUCAACUGCCAUACCUAUCGGUAUCUGUGAGGAUGUGCCCGUUGUUGUUGCUAAUGUUACUAUUUUGACUGACUUUGUUAUACUUGAGAUGCUCGAGGAGGACAACAUGUCGAUUAUCCUUGGCAGACCCUUCUUGAACACUGCAGGGGCUGUUAUUGAUUGCAAUAAAAGCAAGGUAAUGAGCAUACGGUGCACUUUCCAAAGAAACAAUUCCAAGUGAAUGGUAUUAAUGUUAUUGAAAAAUCUUCGACGAUCACUAUUGGAAGUUUUCAAAUACCUCUACCUACUGUCGAAAAGAAAUAUGAAAUGCUUAUUGUUGGGGACAUUCAUAUCCCCGUUGAGGUAACUUACUGAUUUACGAAAGUUCUUGGGUUUCAUGCUAAUCGAAAGUGGUUGUUAAUAAGACCUGAUCAACCUUAUUAAUGAAUCAUUUUUGAGCGGUAUGAAGUUGAUGAAUUUAGUAAGCACUACUUUCUGUCCCUACCUUUUGUUUUCUAUUUUUAUUAGUUAAAUAAAAUAAAAUGUCAUGUUUUGUCUGUUUUCUGAAUUUUCCGUGCAAUUCUCAGAAUGCCCUGAAAAUUUAAUAUGAUUUUUCUGAAUAUUUCUGAAUAUUUCUGAAUUUCUGGUGCAAAUAAUAUCAGAGGGAGGUGCACCAGGUGGGCACAACCCACCUGGGCGCGCCAGGACCCCCAGGCGCGCCCUGGUGGGUUCUGUUCCCCAUGUGGGCCCCCUCACUUAUGUCUUCAUCCCACAUCAUCACUUACCUCCAGAAAAAAUCUCCAUUGCUCUCUCUCCCGUGUUCUUGUUCUCAAACCCGCGGAUUUCGAUCUCUUUGCUCGAAGCUCCAUUUCCGAAACUGUUUCGGGGGAUUGUUGCUUGGUAUGUGACUCCACCAUUUGUCCAAUUAAUUUUUGUUUCAGCGGUUUAUAUUUUGAAUAAUUAGCUACUCUUGGUGUUGUUGUAGAUGAGCUUGCAUGUUGAAUUCUUAGAGUUCUAAGUAGUUUGAAUGCUUGCUAUGGCCUCUAAGUAUCCCUAUGAGUAGUUGCUAUCAAUUUUGUGAAGUUAUGUUGAGAACAAAUUGUGGACUAAAAAUUUCAGAAUUUUUGUUCAUAGGAAAAUCAUGAAUAUCUUUAGGAAGUUUGGCUCUAAGAAGAACUCCAAGGGUGUUAUUGGGGAGUCAUCUGAUACUGAUCUCCAUCCUAGGAGGUUGGCGGAAGUAUGGCCGUGUGAAUGGCCGCACACCCCGUUCCUGGAAGAGGCCGGAAUCCUUCAGGAGUUCACACAAUAUGUCGUGGUUUUGUCACGGCAGAUGUCCUAGAGAAAGGACUUAGUCGUGGAGCCAUCGCGACGGGUUAGCUUAAAGGGGUUAAAGCGGACAAGGGACGCAAGAGAGUUUUAUACUAGUUCAGCCCCUUAUGAUGAUGGCAAAAGCCUACGUCUAGUUGUGAUGGAAUUGAUGGGGUUUCAAUGACCAGGGAGCGAAUACGCUUUGCCCGAGUCUCGAGUUGUUGUCUGUUGUCCCUGAACCGCCGCCGGGUCGUCCCCUUAUAUACAUGGGUUGACGCCCGUCGGUUUACAGACUCCGAGGCCGGCUCAUAAUCGUGUCCGGCUCGGUCUCUGCUACGCAUAUCUUACAACACAAGUUUACAUCUCAAUACCGGUUUGUGUCUACAUUCCUUAAAUUGGCUUUGGGACCUGGGCCUUCAUGAAGCGUCACCGUCUAUCUUCAUGGGCUUCAGAUACAGAUGAACUACUUAUGAAGUUAACCCGGCCUCUCCUGGCCGGUUUACGCCCAAUGGUAAUAUCCCCAACAUUAGGCCCCAGAUUGAUUUGAACUGGUUCAUGUCAAUCCUCAAUACUUGAGAAAAUUUCUUCUUCAACAUCUUCACACAGUCUUGUAAACCGCCAUGACAUCAUCUUCUAGGAUCUUGGUAAACCGCCGUGACGUCACCUGUCAUUAACGAGCCUCCGACAAUCGAGGCGACAACAUCACCUUAUAUCCAAAAAUCCGGCUCCUCGAUUUUUGCAUCUGUUGUUUUAUCUCCUUAUAAAUAGGGCCAGGGCGUCUUUCCAGUUUCCCCCUCGUGCCUCUUCGCUUCAUCUUCAUCCUCGCGACGCUCGAACCUUCGACCUCAGCCGCCGCCGUCAACCUUCGACUGCUGCACCAACCUUGGCCGCUGCAUCGACCUAAACGUACCAGAGCUCCUCCGCGUGCCGCCGCUACUCAACAGCAUCCGUAAGUCUCCCCUUUCUCUUACCAUAGAUAUGCACUUAGGGUUUCUGUCGUUCAUCGGUGUUCGUCACCACCCUUCUUUUCCCUUAUUUAUAUCCAUGGGUUAGAUCCAAAAACCACAUAGGUCUCGUGCAGUAGUAGUUUAAACCACAUAGUUCUCGCGCUUUAGCAGUUUCAGCACCUGUUUGAUAUCCAACUCAUCUCAUCUUGGUGAACCUUCAAUACACUGGAAUUUAGGUCAGAAUAUAUUUUGUUUUUCCUACGCGCGGUAGAUCUGAAAUUACCAUAGCAAGAUGUGAAACUUGUUUCUUCCUUCUCUUACACCCUUUGAAUACCAGAUUGGCCGGUUUAACCUCACAGAAAAAAUGAUGACCCGGUAGAUACCAUUAGUCCCCUGUUGAACCGCCAAUGCAUUACACCGUUCCAUUGCCAGACUCCAGUUUACCAAUAUGCUAGUAUCCUCAUACCACUGUAUAGUUGUCCACUGUAAAUCUUAAACCGGUAAUACUCAUGUUUCAGAUUUUCCUUGUCAUGGCUAAACAAGUUUAUGAGUGCAAUUGGGCUCCCUCUCGAGUAACCGAGGAGCAAUUAAACAACCUUGUUAAAACGGGCGCCUUAGCCAAGAAAGAUGUCAUCCACUGGAGGGUCCCUGGCCCGGAAAAUCCUCCUACACCCAAGGAUGGAGAAGUAGUCGUGUUUGCUGAUCAUCUUGGACGAGGUUUUAGCCCUCCUAGUUCAAAAAUUUUCCGAGAUGUGCUAGCCAAUUUUCAGCUGCGCCCUCAAGACAUCGGUCCCAACUCUGUUACCAACAUCUGCCACUUCCAAGUAUUCUGUGAAGCUUAUCUGCAAGAGGAACCUACAUUCGAACUGUUUAGGGAUUUCUUUCACUUAAACCGUCGCACCGAGUUCUUAGAUGGACCCAAUACGGAACUGGGCGGAAUGGUGGUUCAGAAGAGGAUAGAAGUCACCUUCCCCCAUCCCAAACUUCACAGUCACCCCAAAGAGUGGAACCAAACUUGGUUUUACUGCAUGGAUACCUCUCCAUCUGAUGAAAACCCCCUGCCGGGUUACCGCCCUGAACGCCUGAGCAACACACACCCGUUUCCUCAGAGGUUGACAGCAAGAGAAUGGGCCAACUAUGCUCCCCAACUAUCAAAGCUUAGAGCCUUCAUGGCGAACGGUUUGACAGGAGUUGAUCUUGAUCGUUGCUGGAUAAGCUGGAGCAUUCUUCCCUUAAGCCGGCGCCCCGGUUUGAUGUGUGAGUACACGGGUAGUCUGAAGGAUGCUCAGCGGCACAUUGAUAUUCAGCUUACAGACAAAGAAGUCACUGAGGCUGUAAAGAGAAUACUGAACGAACCGGAGGCAGUCUGUGCCCAAAUCGGACUACUCCCUUUCUGCACCUUCAACAAACCACCAGCUGUAAGAAUCAUAUAAUCCUUUGUAUCUGAAUUUGCUUCGGUCCAAAUAUUCUCUGAGAGUGUUAUUAUUUUCUGACAGGGUGAUGAUCCGUUCUGGAACAAGAAACCAUCACAAGGACCAAACCGGUCAAGCCAGUUCGUCCAAAGACCAAGGUUGUUAAGAAACCUGCCAAGAGAAGGACCACUGCAUCCUCCGAUCUACCAGCUGAUGACAAUGUGCCUAAUCCGGAUUCAGAGGUAGAACUUGACUCUCUUGGUUCAUUUUUCGUACAUCUCAUUGACAAUGAUUAUUAUCAGGACGACGCUGAAGGCAGUCACGCUGAGGACGUAGAGGUAACUAUUCUUUCCUCCGAUUCAGAUCCUCUGCCAACAUCAAAAAUCCGUCAAGCAAACCGAAAAGUAAAAUUUUCUCACCCUCUUGCUUAUUUGGACCCAAACUUUCUUUCGAAGACGCAGCAGCACGAAGCUCGCCGUACAACCCGACACAGCGGCCAGGUAGUUACCUCUGCCAGUUUACCGAACAGUCCGGUUCGGAAACGCCGACCAGAGGUCUCUUAUCCCAUUGAUACUUCAUGCCCAAAAGCAGGUUGUUUUCGCCAGCCUCUUAACCCUCUGAUUCAAAUUAUCAGGGUACUUCUCACUCAUCCUCUGGCGAGUCUUCGGCCACACAGCUUCCACCCCUCAAAACAGUUCCUGGGUGAGUUAUGCACAUGUCUUUAUUCUUGAUAUGUUAUCUUUUCAUACUGUACUGAUCCUUAUGUCUUAUCUUUUCGCAGCGCCAAGCCAAGACCCAGCAAGAAAGCUCGGUUGAACAAACCGGCUGAUGAUAAUGUAGCUGCUGAACCGGAAACAACUCCAGAUCUGUAAGAAACCGAUGCUGACGCCAUGCUUCACGAUCCGCCGCUUUAAGACCAUGAUUUCCUUGCUGAACAAGUGCAAGUUGAUACUACAAGUCAUGCAGACUGGUCAACCAGCCCUGUCCGAACUGGUGACAAACUGGUCAGUCCAGCGAAGGACACUGAUAAACCGCUAACUCCGGCAAGAGCUGCUGAUGAACAAGAUGAUGACGUUAUGAUUACUGGCACUGGCCACUCCACUCCAGGCAACCCUGUAGCUUUGUCAAAGCAUACUGCCAAGGAUGAUCUCUCUGCUAUCGGCAAAGGCAAAUGGAAUGCCGAUUUAUCAAGCUUCGCCCACCUCAAUGUUCAAGAUAUUCACUCUGGCUUCUUGAACUGUCUGUAUACUAGCCGUGACUAUGAAGCUAGUUUGGUAAACUUGAUGAAGGAGCGAUAUGAGGUAACUACUGUUUUUCUCCUUUGUCCAAUUGCAGUUCAUUGACUCGUAGUAGCUCCCAAGUGACGAUUCAUGAUACCAAUCUAAACCAGGACUUUUGUCAUAACUUAACUUCGCCUAUUUAGCCUCCAGGGACCGGAUUACCUUGUUAAGAUGAACCGGUUCCUUAAAAUUUGCCAUACUGCUCUUUUGCCGGUAUAGUCCCCAAGGGUCGGUUUAACUUUAUAAAGAUGAACCAGGACUAUAGAAGAAUUCCCAUAUCAACAGCUUUUUGAGCAAACACACAUUAGCCCCCAAGUGCCAAGCUUAAUACUUGUUAUGUGCUUGGUACUUCAAAUAUGUACUGUCAACUCAUUAUGUAUCUAUCACUUUACAGGCGGAGCUGAGCAGGAAGGAACGCCAAACCGCUGAUCUGCAAGAGAACAUCAAAACCCAGCAAGCUGAAGCCUCCAAAGCAAAGGAAGAGUUGACCCGCGCUCUAGGCGCUAUGGAGAAACUGAAAGAAGGUUUCAACAAAGAACGGCCGGAUUGGGAGACUGAAAAAGCCGCUUUGAUGAAAAGGGCUGAAAACGCAGAAGCCGCUCUUAAACCGGUGGUUGACGAGCUGACUGGUGUAAAGCGGCAAGUGCAUGCUAUGACCACUGCUGUGUUUGAGCAUCUUGUCUUUAAUACUGUCAACAUAUCUUCCCAUGCGUUGCCGGUUUACUGAUGUUUGCAAUGAUGCAGGAACUCGCAUUAGUCAUCUGGGCUCUGAUGUUCAGAAGAAGCUGAAGGCUGCCUAUACACUGAUAGAACAACUGUGUACCGGCACUCAAUGAAUUAUCUGCACCGCUUCUCACAAUAAGCCGUCCCCGACGUUAAUCAAAGAUACCUUAGACAGGCUAUCUAUGCUGCCUGCCCGGGUAGAAGAGCUAAAGAGGUCUGCUGCAAGGGCUGACGCUCUGACCGUGCUAACCCGGGCAAAAGCAUGGGUGCCUGAUCUUGACCCGACGGACGUGGCUAAAGGCUACCCAAGCUUGAAAGAAGACGGAUCCGAAUUUUCCACUGAAGAUCUCGGCGCCAUAAACCGGGAAGUACGUCCACUGGCUUGUCAACUUGCUGAAGAGGCUGAUCUUUCACAUUAUCAGGCGAGUUAUGAUAUCAAUAACAAGCGGGUUGCUGCACCAGCUCCUGAGGCUCAAAACCUGAUCCCUCCAAUCCGUAAGCACACUUAUGCCCCUGAUAUUGAACCGUCCACCCUUAUAAGCGACGAAGCUAUGUUCCAAGCUUUAACUGGGAUCAACUGGACAACUGUUGGCUUCCAGCCGCUGGGUAGGGAAGAAGAAGAAGAACCGGUGCAAGAUGACCCGCAACCGUCAGGUCAAGCUGCUCAGUGAUCAUAACCCGGGGGCCGGUUUAAUCUUCCAUACUGCAAUGUUUAUUGAGAAACAAUUAUUCCUUUGGGCACUGAAACGCCUUGUAAUAGGCUAGUUAAAACACUUGGUCUGUUAUGCCUUUGUGCAUAUUUAUCUGCAACUGAUGCGUGUUAAUCCGCCAUGCUUGAGAUAUGAUGUUCAUAAUCCAUAGCUAUUUAUUCCAGUUGUUCCUGCAGAUAAAAAGCUUAAAGCGCCCUGGCGGUUUACCACCGGGCGGGUCAUGAUACCCAACUAUAUAUAUGACCAAGCUUUAUAACCAAGGUUGUAAAAGAUAACCAAGUAUGGAAAUAUAUGAUACCUGCGACCUUUAGGCAUAGUGUUGGCUGACCAACCUUGUAAUGAAGGUAAUAACCUUAAUCCGGAGUAAAAGUAUCUCCUGUUAUAUAAUGCCGGUUUACAACAAAACCGUUCCGGGUUGUGAUAAACACCGGCUUAUUCCAUACUGGUGACUAUGAGUCAAAACCAGACCGGGCUGAUAGUCUCCGGAUUAUAACUUGGUCAUGUACUGACAACUUGUAGUUGACAGCCCAACUGGGCUGAUAAACACUGGUUUGAAAACAUCACAAAUCUUAGCAAAAGAAAAAGAAACUUAGCAAAAGGCAAAUAAAAUCGUUGUAGUCGAGGCUUUUCACGGGCUGCCAGGCCCCAAAUUUGAUCAAGAGGUGUUGCUAUGCUUCGGGUUCGACCAAGCCCCCAAGUGAUGCUGUGGCAUUAUGCCGAUCAAAAGGCAUUGCUAUGGUUCGGGUUCGACCAAGCCCCCAAGUGAUGCCGUGGCUUUACGCCGAUCAAGAGGCAUAGCCAUGGUUCGGGUUCGACCAUGCUCCCAAGUGAUGUUGUGGCAUUACGCCGAUCAAGAGGCGUGGCUAUGGUUCGGAUACGACCAAGCCCCCAAGUGAUGCCAUGGCAUUGGGCCGAUCAAGAGGUGUAGCUAUGGUUCGGAUACGACCAAGACCCCAAGUGAUGCUGUGGCAUUGCGCCGAUCAAGAGGUGUAGCUAUGGUUCGGAUACGACCAAGCCCCCAAGUGAUCUGAUAUCAAGCUUUAAGAAGCUAAAUCAAGGGGUAAACCGGACGCCGCUUUGUAAGCUCCAUGUAACCACACGUGAUGUAAGAAAAACAACAGAUACCCCGCUUUAGUUGAGGUUCCGGUUUAUUAUAUUGAUCAUAAUAUAUACAAUGUCAUAAUAUGUACAUAAGCAGAGCCUGUAGCUCAAGUAUAGUAGGGCCGAAGAUGAGCAAUAUUCCACGGCCGGUUGGUCUCCUCCUCCGAUUUACGUGAGUCUUUGUGCUCUCGAACAUCGAUUAGGUAGUACGACCCAUUGUGCAGAUCCUUGCUGACCACAAAAGGUCCUUCCCAAGGGGGGAUAGCUUGUGCAUAUCUGUCUGAUCCUGGAUGAGUCGAAGCACCAAAUCUCCUUCUUGAAAGGUUCUGGUUCUAACCCGGCGGCUAUGAUAACAACGCAGAUCUUGCUGAUAAAUCGCCAAACGGGCUGCCGCCAUGUCACGCUCCUCAUCUAACAGGUCAAGAGCUUCCUGCCAUGCCGUCUCGUUAUCCGCUUCAACAUAUGCCGCUACACGAGGCGAGUCAUGACGGAUGUCACUGGAAGAACCGCUUCCGCUCCAUAAACCAUGAAGAAUGGCGUGUAGCCUGUCGAUCUGUUGGGUGUGGUAUUGAUGCUCCAUAACACUGAAGGUAACUCCUCAACCCAACAACCCGGCGUCCAUUGCAAAGGAACCAUAAGCCGGGGUUUGAUGCCUCUCAAGAUCUCUUGAUUGGCCCUCUCCGCUUGACCAUUGGACUGGGGGUGAGCCAUUGAUGACACGUCAAGCCGGAUGUGCUCACGUUGACAGAACUCCUUCAUGGCACUGUAACAUCCCAAAUUUUCAAUUUGGUAUGUUAUACAUAGAGCAUCAUUGCAUAUCAUAUUUUAUUGCAUUUUGACAAAUCCUCGAUAAAUCCUAAGCAACUCAAGGACCCUCGGAGAGAGUUGGGGAUUUUCACAAAUUUUCAUAUUUGAUUUUCAUCAAAUAAUAAAACGAGGAUUUUGGUUUUUAUUAUUUUCUCUCCGGGAAAAAUAUUUCAUUUAAAAAUAAACGAGAGGAGAAAAUAUGACUUCUCCAAAACAAUUGAAAUAUUGGAGGAAAAGUGUUAAAAUCAUUUAUUGGAUUUUAUUCGGAGUUUUGUUUGCAAUUUUAAUUGCAUUAAAAAAAUAUAGCAUGUUUUCAAAAAAUUUAUUUCGUGUCAAAAAAAUGUUCACCCUGUUCUAAAUAUUCUAACUAGACGGGGAAAAUUUGUUUUAUCUUUUUUGGAUUUUUAUUUAUUUUUCUACGAAUUUUUCGGCGGAACGUUUAAAAAAAA